rnacentral:lncRNA from 1 species
AAGAUCAGCACCAACUAAUCCGGAGGAAGAUUGGGAUUCAGUGUCUGCAACCGAGGAGCUGAAGGCUCUGAAACCCGAACUGGCUGCCUUAAGGUUGAGAAACCGCGGAGAUAAUAGAAACAACGUUGACAACGCGGCCGCCAUUAGUAAAAUGAAAGGUUUAAUGAAGUCAAAGAGGAUAUUUACAAAGAUAUGGUCAAGCAAAGCAGCCAUAGGUGAGAACAGUGGUUCAGAUUCAUCAGAGAGUCUUGGUUUUGCAAAUCCUGAAGAAGCUAAAUCAACACCAUCUAGAAAUAGGAGGCAUUCAGUUUCUUAGUAGAAAAUGUGGGAAAAUACAUUAACUUUUUGGUGGGGUUUUUUAAUGUUUUUACCUCUCCUAAUGACAAUGGUAAAUUCAAGACUAGUUUUAUGUUAACUCAGUAAAAUGAAGCAGACUAUAUACAUAUAAUAUUUUAUAUAUAUAUAGGUUUGUUUGUCUGGCCAUCGAUGAAUGCAAGAUGCCACUGCCAUGUACAUCAUGCAACACUUUUAGUAUCUGUUUCAUUUUUUUCAGUCACUCUUGAGUCCAAGAUGGGCUGAAAAUGAUCAAGUGCAUGUAAGUAGAAUAUAGUUACUAUAGAUAUCCUCAUACCUCCAAACGAAUUUACUUAGACUCUAUAUUAGGGGUGUUUCGAGGUCUUAAGUUGCAUAAGGUGAGUUUGAAUGGGCGGUGUACUUAUCUGCAAUAAGUGUAAAAACAACAGUGGCAGUGUGAUUAGAUACGGUAGGGUGAGACGCAUUGUACCACACCUCACUGCUCAUCCAAACCCACCUUAAAUUGGAUUGAACUCGUCAAUCAAAUCGAAAAUUAAUUUAUAUAUCGGUCCAAACAAAACAACAAAGGAGUUAAAAUAGUUUCAGAACGAAUUGCUGUUGGAACUGCAUUUUUUAAAUGUUUUUAACCUAAAUUAAUGGUCCAAAUUGAAAAAAAACACAAUUGGCCCAACCCAAAUACUUAAACCAGCUGGCCCAACUACUUAAAUACCUUAAAAAGUAUUUAAUAAAUGAGAAAAAUAAGGGAAUUUUUUUUUGAAUCGAUUAAAUUAUUGGCUUGUCUUAUUUAAUUGAAUAAAUUAUUAAAAUAAAUUUAAAAUUAAAAAAAUAAAAUUUAUUUAACAAAUAGUUCAACCUAUUUUAUUGGUCGGACAUUCUCAAUCCAAUAGGCUAUUCUUAUUCUAAAAACAGUGGAAAAGAAAAUAAAAACUAACCUAAAUAUAUAGGCCCGAUUAUGGAUCGGGCUUGAAAACUCGCUUAAAAAGUGAGAGGAUUUGGGUAAAAAUAUAGGCCCAAAAAAUGAUCUUGGGCAGAAAAAGAGGUUUGUUUUCUAAAAGGGCCAGACCUCAAGUAAGCUUUUUUGCCCGAAUUUGCAAAAAAAAUCUGCUGCUUUUUUCUGUUAUUUUCACUAUUUUUGUUACUGUUUUGGUGUCGUUUCACUAUUAUGUUGCUACUAUUUUAUUAUUAUUAUUUGGAUAUUGUAUAACUCUUAUUUUAUUAUUAAUUUUACUACUAUUUUAGAAGUAUUUGCUCUCUAAGAUGUACCUAUUUUAGUGUUAUUUAAGUAUAAAUAAAUUUUUAAUUUAUUUUCAAUUUUAGUGUAUUUGAUGUAUUAUAUUUUAUAAAUUUAUUUUUAUAUAAAAAUAAUAAUAUAAAAAAUUUUAAUACGGAGAGCUGAACUUAGCUUGGAUUUUAACAUUUUUAUUUGGGCCGAACUUAGACAAAAUUUUAAGCCCAUUUUUAAACCGAGCCUACAAUUCUAUUGAGGCCCUACCCGACCCAUUAUCACCAUUACCUAAAUAUAUUUGUAUCAUUAUUGUUUUAUAUAUAUAUAUAUUUGUAUUUCUAAUUUUUUUUAAAUAUUCUUUCUCAAGAAUUAGUUAUCUUCCUCCGAUUAUAACAGCAGAACAAAGAAUCAAAAGUUGGAUCUCAUACAAGCAUACAUAUAUAUAUUGUUCAAAACCCUGUUUUCCACAUAUAUUAUCCAGUUAAAAAAGAACCUUAUAUGAUUAACUGUGAAGCGGCAACAAGUUUAGCCAAACCCUAUCCAAUUAAACCCCAAAAAAACAAAAAAGAAGAAGAAGCCAUAGCUGUUACCAUACAAGUUUCUGACCGGCUUUGUACUGUUUCAUGUACCGUUUAUCUCGAAGGUGUUUUUAGAUUUUGUUAAAGCUGACCUAUCUGAUCUGUAUAUAUAAAAACUCCAUUAGCAUAAAGACACAAACAAAACCAGUAAAAUUUUGUUCACUGCUGCGUUUAUUACAAUGGAAUGAAGAAACAUUCUUGCAUUGACCAACCAUGUUUUGUGUUUUUGCAAUGGAGGAUAAAAAUCUUAUAUUAAAUUGGGUUAAUUUCAUCAAACGUCCCUAAACUAUUAUUUAGAUUCUAAAUUGAUCCUAAACUUCAAAAUUUUCUAAUUGGAUAUUCAAUGUAUCAAUAUUGUUUCAAUCUUAGGUUGAUUGAGCAGUAAAAGUAUCAUGGAAGCCUCUAUAUUAGGAGUCGAAUGUCAUUUUACCACCCCAAAACUUAAAAAAUGGGUAAAUUAGUUCUUAUACAUUAGAUCAAAAAGUAAAUUGGUCAUUCUGUUAAAAAUUAUAUUCAUUUAUAUUGUUAAAAAUUGGUCCACAUACAUCGGCAUAAGGUACACAUGGCAUGUCACAUGUCAUUGUCUAGUUAUUCUGUCAACCACACCAGUUUUUAACAAUACAAAUGAAUAAAGUUUUUAAUAUAAAUGACCAAUUUGUUAUUUAAUCUAAUGUAUAGGGAAUAGUUUGCCCAUUUUCUGAGUAGAUGGGGCAAAAUGCAAUUUGAUUCCUAGUAUAAAGGCCUCAAUGGUACAUUUACCUUAAUUGAGCUUUAGCUCAGUUGACAUCAUUGCUAUUACAAUAACAAGGAAGACAUGAAUUCAAGUGGGCUUAAGCGUGUUUUUCCUGCAAUUUAAAAGUUUAUACUUUAUAGGUAGAACUAAGCAUUGUAUAAAAAAGAAUAUUGUAUCAAUCUAGUACUUUUGUCAGCCUACCUGUCAAUUUAGGCACUAAUGUUAGUUGAUUAGGAGGGUUUACAAAUAAAAGUAGCCAUCCAAUAAAAAAAUAUAUUGUAACAAUCUAGUACUUUUGUUAGCCUAGUUGUCGAUUUAGACACUAAUGUUUAUUCGAAUUUGACAUAUAAUAUUAUUUAAAAUAUAUGAAUCAAAUUGAAUCUGGCACAUUAAAAAGAAAAAGAAUGGUGUCAAUAAAAUUUAGAAAUGUUAUUUUUUUUAACAGAUAAGAUCCAAUUUCUCCAUGCAACAAGUACACAUAUUUUACAAAUUGGCUCGCGUGUUUUAAUGAUGUUAUUGAAAUUGUCCAUAUAAUAAAUACACAUAUUUUAUAAUUUGAUUAACGUAUUUUAAACAUUCUUUACAUUAAUUUUGAACUGAGAAAAUGUCAUAAUUGAGGCAAUAUUGAUAUUUUUUAACUCAAUUAAAACAUUUUAAAAUUUGGAAAAAUGAUUAAGAAUAUGAGCUUAUGACUUGAGGAUGUCUAAUAUAAUUAACCCUAUAAAAUUUAUAAAAUCACAAAUAAGUCAAUGUUGUUUAAAUUCAAAUGGACCGUGAACUGGUGAGGAUAUCAGUUGAAAGAGAGGAAUUAGACCAAUUGAAUCAUUUGUUUUUUUUUUAAUAAUUUAUUUAAUUAAACUAGACAAAUUAAAAAUCGAUGAUUUGACUGGUUCAAUUAUCGAUCUAGUUUUGAAAACUUUAAAAUAAAUUGGAUUCGAAUACCUGAAUUUAAAAUACCAUUAAGAAAAAGGCAAAAAUCAAAGGAAAAUCUGAAUAAAUUCUGAUUCAUGGGAGAGGAUAGAGCUAAAAAAAAGAAAAAUCUGACCCUAUGAUUCUUUUUUCUUUUUUGCCCAAACCCACUUCCCAAACCUCAUUUGUCCUUCGAUUCCAUGGAAGGGACACUUUGAGAAUAAAAAGGGGAAAUUGUUUUUGUAUGCUGUGAAGGAAAGCACCAAAGCUCGAAAACGUCACACAUUUCACCCAAUCUUAGGCUCUUUUCUUUGUGGUUUCAAAUAACGCCAAGCCUUGCCUGACCCUGACCACAUUCAUUUCUUUUUUUUUUGUUGGGGGGAGGGGGGGGGGGGGAGAGGGUCAUGCAGGGACGAAAGCAAUGAAAAGUUAAAGCCAAUGGUGAUGGAUUAGAAUCCCAUUCCCCACCCAACAAAAACAAUUAAUAAAUAAAUAACUUUGAUCAAUUUUGAUUGUAAUAUAUUUGGAUUGAGUCCUAGCUUAAUUGGUAUGGAUAUUGUUGUCAAUGUAAGAGGAUAUGAGUUCGAGUGUGUUGAAAUGCAUUAUCUUCCUAUUUAUAGGUAGGGGUGUGCAAAUUUUGGAUAAAACCGAAUUAAUUCGGUCAGGGUCGGUUAAUAAUUUUUUGAAAGUUCGGUUCGGUUAAUUUUUUUUUUAAAUUUCGAUUUGGUUAACAGUUUAAAAGGGUCGGUUAAUUUAGUUAAUGAUAGUUCGGGUCGAUUAAUCGGUCGGUUAACCGAUUGAACACCCCUAUUUAUAGGUUGGAGUGAGGCUAUGGAUAGCUUUAGGUUUUGUGUAAAAAAGAGCACAUAUAUGAUUUGUUGGUAUGAGAUUACCUAUAGUGGUUAAAAUAUGUUCCAAAUUUUUGUAUUUUUCAUAUAUUUAAAAUUUAAAUCUAAUUAUUUACGUUGGUAAAGUUCUUCUAUUAAAUUUGUUGGUAUGACAUUCUAAAAUUAAAAGAAAAAUUACUUAGUAGUCAUACAAAAAAAAUGAAGAAAUAUUAACAUUACAAUUAGGGGUUUAAAUGACACAGUUGUACUUAUAAGCUAUUAAAGUUCGACUAUAAAAAAACUUGAAUUUGAUUUGGUAAUUAUUGGGUUCAAUUGAGUUUAAUUAUGAAAGUUCGAGCGACUUGCAAGUCUAAUUGAAUUUUCUUUUGUUUUUAGUAUAUUUUUAUAUCAUGAAAAUUCAGUUUUACCUUUAUUACUAGAAAGAGCUUAAUUGUGAAUAAGCUUGAGCUUAAAUAUGAAUAAACUUAAUCGAGUUCAAGUAACUCAAUUUUGUCUCAAGCCGAGCGCAGAAAUUGAUGCUCAAGCUCAAGCUCAAGCUUAUCACUGUUUGAGCUUGACUUGAUUCGAUUACACCCUUAGCUGUAAUAAGACUGAAUUUAGCAAAAGAAAUUUAACUGGGUUAACAAUAAGACUUACAUUUUUUAACUUGAAAGUAGAAGGAUUGAAUUCUUUAAAAUAAAAAAUAAGAAAACUAAUAUAUAAAAAUACAAGAGCUUAAAACAUAUUUUAACCAUUAUAUGUAUAUAUUUAUGUUUGAAUGUAAUGUUUGUGGACCAAACUGAAGAAUCGGAUAAAGACGGUGGAUGAGUGGGGAGGUGCGUGUGGGGGGUGACUAAAACUUCAAUGUGUGUGUCGGCUUAUAAAUCUAUAAACAUCGUCAUCCUCGUCCCCCUCUCAACAUCACCACCCCACCUUAUUUAUUUUCUUCCUAGUUUCCGCACUUCGUAAGUACAGUCACUUUGAUUCUAUGUUCUCCUUAUUAACCCCUUUCUCGUUAUUAAUCUUAUCCCAAUCCAACUUAUGAUUCUUUUUAAGGCUAAUUAUAUCAAAUGUCCUUAAAGUGUGGUUUCGAUUUUAAAUUGAUCACUGAACUUUAAAAUUCAAAGUAUUGAUAUUGUAUCAAUUAGACCCUCCCUCUCAUUGGACGUUAAAAUAUUAGCUCUAUUGAUACAGUGUAUCAACAGAGAUCAAGAUGGAGAGGGAAAUGGUGUUCUGGUAGGAAAAUAGAGUCGGACCCCCCUAAUAGAAUGUGUUUGAAAUUACCUAAAUCAUGAGUACAGGAUCCCGAAUCGAGUUAUUAUAUAUUUUAUUUUAUUAUAAUAGUUAUAACUCUUACUUUAUAAUCAUCUUUAUAUUUCAAACUUAUCACCAAAUUUAAAUCAAGUAUUUAAAGGUGAAAGCCAGCUGGAUUGAUGGAUUAACCCCUUUUUUCCCAAAAUAGGCUAACCCCAUUUUAUUUAAAAACAAUUAGGGUUCAACCAAAUGAAACUUCCAAAUCAAACAUUAGAUGAAACUAAUUCUUUUAUCUUUCUAAAGCUAAAAUCCAACAGAAAGAUGUAUGAAUAAUUCCGAAUAAAAAACAAAGGGUAAAUUACACCCAAAAGUACUAAAUUGUUAGUAAAUUUACGUUUUGGUCACUUAAUUUUAAAAAGUUACAAAAUAUCAUUGAACAGUUCAAAAGUUUUCAUUUAAGUCACCAAACUAUAAAAAUUAUUGUUAUAUGACAUUUGUUUGCACCAAUCAAAAGCUCUCCUUCUUUCCCUUCUUUUAUACAACUCAAUAUUUUUUACAUGAAACAAUUUGAACAUUAAGAUUUAGGGUUUAGGGACAAAAGGCGGGAGGAUGGCAAGGGCGUUGGCCUCUCUAAAUGAGAAAUUGCUUCUUUAGACCCCCAAAGAAGUAUAAAAUCUUAAUAUAUGACAAAAUUAUAGUUUCUCCCCAAAAUGCUAAAAUUUCAAUUUAGAUAUUUUGAAAACCAUUAAAAUAUAAGCUAAUACAAUGGUGAAAUUGUAUUUUAGUUCUCAUGUAAAUAUAUAAAUUAAUCUUGGGCUGUUAAAAAAAUUUCUAACCUUGCUCUUGUUGAACGUCAUGAAUUUACAAACUAAAAUCCAAAUAGUUUUAUCCUCCGAUCUCCAACAUUGAUCGUCAGAUUGACUUGAAAUUAAUGUAUGUUAUUUUACUUAUUAAUGAGUAUUAAUCCACUAUAUUAAUCAUCGAAUUGUCGUUCUGAGCUCGUUAACCAAAUUGAAUAAUAAUUAAAUCAACUUGGAUGUAAUUUAUUCUAAAAAUCAUUUGUCAGAAACUUCCAGAUCAAACAUUAGAUGAAACUAAAUCAUUUAUCAUUCUAAAGCUAAAAAUCCAAUAAAAAAUUUAUGAAUAAUGCCAAGUAAAUAUACAAGGAAAGAAUCUAACGGUCAUAGAUAUCCACGAAACAGAAUCCAACGGCUCUGCCAACUUGCCUAGGACCUCUCCAAUCUUCUCCUUCCGCGGAGACCCGGAGCCGCCUCUCUCUCUCACCCAAUUUCUUUGGAACCCCCAAAAACCCCACACCUCAAAUUUCCCCCAGUUUAACCAUAGUUAACUAUCCAAAUAAUAAAAAAGUAAACCAUGGUUAACCACCAACACUCUAUAUAUUCCUCUGGUUAGCUUCUCUUUUUAUUAUUGGCUUCAAUUAUUCUUUUCCUACCAGUCUUUUCAAACACCAUAAUAAACCUUCCUCAUUUCUUGUUCUUAUGCUAAGAGUACAAGGUUUAUCAAAAUGAGCUGCAAUGGCUGUAGAAUUCUUCGAAAAGGUUGCAGUGAAAAUUGUAUGCUUAGACAAAGCUUACAAUGUAUAGAGAACCCACAAGCUCAAGCACACGCCACCGUUUUUGUUGCUAAGUUCUUUGGCCGUGCCGGACUUAUGUCAUUUCUCUCCUCCGUCGCCAGUCCUCAAAGACCUGGUAAUUUUUUAAUGGCUUUUGUUGGAUUUUUGUUUUGGUUUUUGAUUUUUUUUUACUGAUGUGUGUGCAUACAUAUAUAUAUUUGCAGCUUUGUUUCAGUCGCUUUUGUUUGAAGCAGUGGGACGGGCAAUUAAUCCGGUGAGUGGAGCCGUGGGGUUGUUAUGGACAGGGAACUGGAACGUCUGUCAGUCGGCGGUACAAACGGUGCUCCAAGGCGGCACGUUGCAGCCGUUGCCUGAAUUUAGUGGUGGGGUUUCAGGAUCGGAUUUUGAGGAUGUUGGAGAAACGGUCGGUGUUGGUGGCGGCGGCGGCGCUGGGGGGCCGUGUAUCCAGUCGGGAGGUUUCGUUGACGUUGUUGAAUGUAAAGCAUCUGAUCUCAAUCUCUGCCUGAUGAUCGGCGACGAUGAUAGAGCGGUUAAAAGGAGAAGGGAAUCUACAUCGUCGGAAGAGUCCGAAACGACGACGUUGGGAAGCCGGUUUUCUGGAGAUGGUAAUAGUUCAAAUGACAGCUGCGGCGCCGACGGUGAAAGAAAGCUUUUAAGACUGUUCAUUUGAGAGUUUUUUUUUUCUUCUUCACAUUUUGUCUAUGUAAUUUUGAUUAUAAUUGAACGCCUGUAUGAGCUAUGAUCUUUUGUUUCUAUUUUCGGCUAUGAAGGAUGAAGUUCGAUCAAAUUUUAUAAAAUUUCGAAUUUCCCAUAAUUUUCGUAUUAUAAUUUUUGUUUUGCUCCUUCAUUGAUUUCCCAAAAAAUGAAAGAUGUGAGUGAGAAACGUUUAUGCCUUUUAUGGUUCAUGAGUUGCAAGUGAGUGGGCACUACUUCCUAUCGUGAAAUAUGAACAGGAGAAAUUGUAAAACUUGGGGCAAUCUUAAGGGGUGGCUUGGAACGUGAGAUUGCCCUUUGGCUACCCUAAAGAGUCAUUUUUAUUCUACUAUUUUGAAUGGCUUUAAAAGAAUAACUUUUUUCUAUCUAGUAUGAGACUCUUCGAUAUCCUAUACUUUUUGACACGAAAAUUCUUUGAAAUUUUAUAUUUAUUAAAUUCAUAUCGAAUCAAUCCAAGUAGAAAAACAUUAAACUCCUUGUUACAUUGAUUCAACAAUACUAUCAAACUUAUUUUGAUUGUAUUAAGAAUGUCUCGUACAAAACAAGGUCAAACAUUAUAGGUUCUGAUAAUAUAUAUUCUUUUUCUUCCCAAACCAAUAAAUAGGAGGAUAAUGCACUUCAGCCACUCGAACUCACGUUCUCCUACAUUGGUAAUAAUAUCCUUACUAAUCGAACUAAGACUCAACUCACACACAUAAUAACACUUAAAAUAAAAUAAAAUAUAGACUCAUAACUCAAUCAUAAUUAAAACAUGAAGAUAUUAAAAUAUGAAGGUGAACCACUUAAAAUUAACACCAUUAAACAUAAUCAUUUUGGUCUCUUUGUGAAACCACCCUUUGUUGGUUUGGGAUUUGGGGUCCAUUAUACCCAAUAUAUAUAAUAUUGGUGCUGUUAUUUUUCCCCGCAUCAUCACAGUCCACAAAUCAAAAUAAUGGAACCACCUUCCCCAUUUCUCUAUAUCCAUAUUCCAUGGCCGUCCUUUUCUUUCUUUUUUUGUUUGUCUGGAUUAUAAUGCCAAUAGGGUCCCCUUCCUAAUUUAUUUUUCAAUAACUGGAGACAAGGAUAACACGAGUUUCCCAAACUUCAUAGCCUCUCAACAAAUCUUAAAAAUUUCAUGCAAAAUAAUAUAUAUAUAUAUAUAUAGAUAAAUAUAAAAGGACCAUUGAUUUGCUUGGAUGGAGACACCCCUAUGCUGGUGUUGGAGUCUCUUAAAUCUCCACUUGCUUCCAUGUAAGAAAUUGACUUGUGUUGAGCAUCAAAUAUCUUGAAAUUCGGAUCCUGUCUGUAUUUAUAUUCUUUGGACUUUUAAGUAGGGGUUUAAUGAGAAUUUCUAAAAAUUUUGAGGGGUAAGUUAAAAUUUUUAAAGAUUUUGAAGGGGUUAAUGAAAAAAUGUUAAUUUUUUUCUCGUGUUUGAAGAAACAAGAAAUUGUUGCACAAUCCACAGUUACUGUUGCUGCAAAUAUUUGAUAGAUUUGCAUGGAAUAAGAGGAAAGCUGGACAAUCAAGUUGCAAUAUCAAUAGCUAAUAAUCCAAUAUUCCAUGGUAGAACUAAUCACUUCAAAAUAAAAUUUUACUUUCUUCGUGAUGUUCAAAGGGAAGAAGUGUAACUAGUUACAAAAAAUGAAUAUGCUGGUAUUUUCGGACAAGCAUUGCCUAAAGCCAAAUUCGAGUUCUUAAGACAAAAGCUUGGAGUUAAUUUGCAGCUCCAACAUCAAGAAAGAGUGUUAACUUUUAUGAUUUUUGAAGUUGCAUUAGUUAUAAUUUAUCUUUGUCUUUAAGCAAAUAUCAGCCCUUAUUUUUAGGCAAAUAAAAUAGUCAAAAGUCAAUUUAGAUUAUGAUUUGUAGACUUUUCUAAAUUUUAAUUUAAAAUUUUUACUGUAUAAAUAGAUAGUUUGGCAAUUCAAUAAAUAGUAUGAUUUCUACAAAUCCUUUAAAAACUUUCGAAUUCAAAAUGUUUAAAAAAUCCGAAAGCUCUAACUAAAUUUUUAAAACUUUUGGAAGCUUUAAUUAGAAAUUUUAAAAGUUUUGAAGGACCUAAUUAAAAUAUUUAAAAAAUUUGGAAGGCAUAAUGAUGUUGAAUAUGAAUAAGUAUUGUGAAUUGAAUUUUAAAUAUUUAAAUACCACAUAUUAAAUUCAACAAAAUUUCAUUAGCAAUAUUAUUAUUCACUACACCUUAAUUUUCAAAUCAAACUAGUAAAAAGAAAUUAAUUUCAAUUAAUUCCAAAUGUAUAAAAAGUACAGGGAUUAGAUACAUAAUUAAACCUAAUUAUAAAGUUUAAAAUAUGUUGAUGAUCUUCAUAAAAACUUAAAAGCAAGUUUAAGAAUCUUCUUCUCUUAUAUGUUUAUCCACAUAAACAAGUUUUUGCUGCUUUUCUUGCAUAAUUGAACAAAGAAUCAGUAUGUUUGAUUUGUUGGACAAAUUAAAAGAGAAAACCGGGCUUUUAAAUUGUAGCACAUGAUGCAAUAAAGAAACAUGUUCAAAAGGCAAAAGAUAGUAACGGAGGUGGAGGAGGUCAAAAAGAAAACAGAGCAGCCGGUAAAGGCGGCGGCAAUGGCAGGGAAACGCAGCCCGUGUUAGUGGUGGGGGCUUGGGGUUUUAAGUUCCCUAUGCGCCGUAACUUAAACGUGAGUUGUCGCUGACUGGCUACUUUGGUUGUGUAGUCAAGAUACAUUUUAAGUUGUCGCUGUCUUGUCUCCUAUUUUUCUUGCUGUUAGGUGUUCUUCUAGAAAACAAAAUAUUAUUUCUUAAGUGAGUUGCAGACUAGAAGGUUUAGGGUAAAUUAAGAGCUUUUAAAAAAUAUAUAAGUUGGUCAAUAGCUCUGCUUCAACUGGCUUACAUGUUAGAGCGACGAUUGGACAGAUUAUCAAUCACUUUAGAUGAAACGUAAUAGUUGGUGUAGUAAAUGACGAUUGUCGUGUGAGUCCCGCAUGACUUGACAUGAAGAAGUUAUUUUUCGAGAAUUUCUCCGAAAAGUUAUUACAAGAGUUGCUUGUGCUCCGCAUAUGCGAGGAGUUAUUUUAAUAGGCUCGCUCCGAGGGGUGAUUCCGAAGAACGAAAAUCUAACAGGCUUGUCUGAGAAGUAGGGGUAUAACAAUAUGCUAAGUUACUACUAUAAUAUAAUUCAUCAUUCCAAGUAAUAAUUUCAUUAGACAUUGUUGACCAAUACUUCCAAAAUUUGGAAAAGAUUGUGAGUGCGAAAAACUUGAAUCAUUAUAUUUAACAGAUAAAUUAAUAUGACACAAGAAUCAUGUCGUGUAGGAUAGGUUGAUGUUUUUGGUGGACAACAACAUAAUUCUUGUCAAGUAUCUAUAUCAUAUGUAUUGAGAGUUUGACUAAUAUCACUCAUUAAUCGAGUCUUAAUUCAGUUGUGAAUUUACUGUAUUUUUUUUAUAAAGGGUAAAUAUUAUUUUGAGAGUAAUUUCUUUUAUCUUUUUAUGUUUUUAAAACAAAAUUUAUAAAAUACACUCAAAACAUUAUGAAAUUUUUUCUCUAAAUUUUACUAUCUCUACUAAAGAUAUUUAGUAUUUAUAUCAACUUUUUUAUAAAUUUAUUAGAUAACAAUGGUUUUAGCCCAUAUCUUAGGUCAAGUGAAAUUACCAAAAAAUUACUUUUUUACAUGGCAAUAAAUAUUACUUUAAAGACAUUUUUAUAUUUUUAGAUAAAAUUUUUAAAAAUACAUAUAUAUAUAUAAAACAAUAUUAAAAUAAAAAACACCAUGACAUUCACUCCUUUUAACUUCAUCAUUUCAACAAAUUUCAUAUUUAAUUUUUAUAUUAACUUUUGAAAAUUUUAUUACAUAAUUGGUUAUGAAUUUGUUCGAAUCAUAGUUUGGUAAUAGUAUCAUUUUUUACACAUAUUUUAUUAUAUAGGUUAGCAAUAAACUAAUUUAAUUAGUAAUAUUUAAUCAUUCCGGUGACUUUUUUUUAAUGAAGAGAAAGAAAUUUUUCACUUAUUUCGAAAAAGUUUUAUUUUUUACAAGAGUUAUUACUCAUGUUUCUAAUUUUAAGUUUAAAUUUGUACUAACUAUUAAUUUAUUUUAUAUCUAUUACAUAUGUAAUAAAUAAUUUUUUCGUAUAUUAUUACACUAGUAACUAAACGAGGUAUGAUGUUAAUCUAACUCCUCCAAUAAUUUACCCUUCAUAUUUUAAAAUGAUGUUUUUUUUUUGGUAUAAUGAUUUAUUUAGCUUUCGAAGUUUAAAAAAAUUCAUUGUUCUUAAUUUAAUUUUUUGUCUCUUUUUAACCGUUGAACUUAUAAUAUUUGUCAAAUCAUUCCAAAAUUAAUGGAUAAGAUAUCCACGUGGUCCACGUGUAUUAAUAAUUAUAUAUUUUUAUAAUAUUAAUAAAUAUAUUUUUUUUAAUUUUUUUUUAAAAACGAUUAAUUAUUAACAUGACAUGCACAUGUAUGCCACAUCAAUAAAGUUGUUAGACGUUAAUUUUUUCAUUCAUUUUAAGAUAAUUUGACAAACAACACAAAUUUAAAUGCUAAAAAAUAAAAAAAUAAAAUUAUUAUUUUAUAAAAUUUAAAAAUUAAAUAAAUCGUUAUCGCUUUUUUUAUAUUAGUAUAUAUUCAUUUUACUAUUUAUAUUUUCAAAUCCAGUAAUUUCGUAAAAGAUGAAAAUGCACACUGUUCUAUAGUAUCAUAACAUUACAAGUUGCAACUGGAACAGAGCUUGCUCCACUGAAAACACCAGGGUUAUGUUGGGAAACAUUGAAUGUGGUAAUAAAAGAAAUCAUGAACUAGAAUUUUGGUAAUGUCAGCCCCUAUCAGCAUGCCUCUCGUGAUUCUCCAUGAUUCAUGAACGCAGUACGUUCAUGUCAGAUGCACGGCAUGAGAUACACGUUAAUUGUAUUAUUUUGUUAAUUAGACUAAUUUUUAACAGAAACGACUAAUUUAAUUUUUAAUAUAAUAUUUUGAGACUAAUUUGUUAUUUUUGUAUAAAUUAAAAUAAAAUAUAAUCUAAUUCCAAGACAGAAAAAGACAAAAUAAACCAUGGGUCAUAGCUUCAUGAUGAAGAAAGUUCAUUCAAUUCCAUUUGGUGCACUGAAUCUUGAUUACAAUCACACAACAUCAACGUGAAUGCAGUUAAUAUGAAUAUAAGGAUAAAAAUGGAAAUGGGGACUGUAUCUAUAAGUUGAACAAGCAUCAACAAACAUUAUACAUAGAUGAUUAAAUCAAACCAGGCCAAGAAAAUACAAUGAUAUUUUUGGUUAUUAAAAUAUUUACAUAUACAAUGCUUUUUUCCUUUGCAAGUAUGCAGAAAUCAGUUGAAAAGGAAAAGCCACAUUCUAAAAUGAGAAACCCGAACCUAACUAUAUUCGAUCCGCUCGUGUUUUGUCCAGUGACCGCAUCCAGACAUCAGAAAAAACAUUGAGUUUGAAUGUAAUGUUAGGAUUUACGGUGAGUAGUCAAAUAAAGAUCAGUUCUAUGCAUGUGUUGUCAAGCAGCCGGUAGUGGGUACACGGUUUAGUAGUAUUAUAUGUGACCUCAAGCUACAUUCGUUAACCUAAUUGAAAAAAAUGGACCUUUAAUGAUAAGCAACAAUGAGCAGAUCAAGUGCAGAAUAGUUUGGAAUGUAAAACGGAAUGUCGUAAUUACCUGGAUGGCAGCUAGCGUGGACAAAUGUUCUUUACAUUGUUCGAGCAAAAUCCUUUCGUUUGUGGCCACACUCACGAGUUCGUUCACCAAAGAAUUCAUUUCCUUCACCUGCAAAGGACAAAUGGUACUGUUAAUUUGGAAGGUUUGAUUUGCCACUUUUAUGAAAUGCAAAUUCGGGUGGAAUAUAAAUAAGCAUGAGGAUUUUCUUCUGUCCGGUGGUAUUCGUUACAGCUCUUUUUUUUUUUGGUAACGCUAACCUUUGAUGAUAAUGAGCAUAUUGAGGAUGCCAUUGCGUGCAUCACAUCAACCGCUGAACCGACGGCAUCCUUCAGAUUCUGGAUGUCUACCUAUUAAGAGAGAAAAACGGAUUGUCAUAAGAGGAAGAAUUAACAGAUUGUAUAUUCAAAUGCAGAGAAAAACGGGAAAAAGGAAGAAACUUACUAUCGCUUUUCCAACAAUUGGAAGACGAAGAGUACUGGCCUUUAAAGCUUCAGUUGCUCCUAGAAAAGAACUCGAGUGAUCUCUAUCGAGGACUGCCCACGCUUCUAAAUGAGCUAUCUACAGUCGUCAAUCGUAACAAGUUUUAGUCAUGACGAAGAGUCAAAUUUAUCCGUCUUGAUUAGGACCAACCAAUAUUCGCUAACUACUAAUGUGGUGAUAAAAGUGAACGGUGAUUGCUUCUAAAGCAUGUUUCUAAAGGGAUUGGUAAAGCCCGAGUCAAUGUAUGUAUGGUCAAGCAGCCCCCUUAAACCCUUGCAGAAAGCUUAAAAUUUCCUCGUUAUAAUACCCAAGUCCCGGUUUUGAUAAUUUCGUUCUCAUCAAAUAGUAUUUCUAAAAGUAGUGCUUUUUUACUUUCAUCAAUUGAGACCGAUGCAGCAUGUGGUUUCUUCUGGACUAAGCAAAGCAUGGAUACAGACAUAAAUAACAUGUUCUAUAUGAUAAAUACGAAGAAAGUAAAAAUAGAAGCAGUUGUAUCUAUGAAAAGAUCUACACAAUUCGAUGCUUAAAUGAAGUCGAAGUUUCGGAUCUUACUUGUCCCUUCAGGAUGGAAGUCAGUUUCAACUUUUGCCUCAGUAAUAGAAACUUCAUUCUCUUAAGAGUGAUGGAAUGCAGCAGUUCCGAUAUUGUUACCCACACAUUCCACAGAUUUUUCUGCUACAAAAGAAGGAACAUUCACCAUGAACAUACCGGACUUAUUAGAGAGCAUCACGAAAGUGAUAACCCCAAAUUCACAAAUUUAUUUUCCGAACCGGCUAUUGCAUAGAAAACCUAGCCAUUCAUGCUCAUUGUAUAGCAAAACCCUGCAGCUCAACUUUAGUACUAGCUCAUAUUAUUAGCAAGUAACGAAACUAACCAAUCAUUAAUCGCAUUUACCAUUCAAAAACAUGACCAUUAUAUGCAAGAACUAUGCUGUCACUUGCAGUACAAGUAAUCUUUAUAGUAAAAUAGUUGGGUUCGGCUUGUUUGACAAACUAUUACAAUGAAGUAAAUCGAAAAAUUCAUCAUCGAACAUCUUUGGCAACAACAAGAUGGACAAGGAGGAUUAACCAUACCUCUGCACUGAGUUCCUGCACCAUGAAAGUAGCUUCGGCCCUUGCAUUCGCGAAUCUCCAUUGCAAAUAACGGUUAUAAAGAAGUCUCAACGUGUGUGCAUCGACAAUCCGAUCCUCCCCCAUUCUCCCUCUCCGAAUAUCAGCAGAAAAGCUGAGAAUUGAAGGAGAAUUAACCGAAUUACCAAGCAUCUGACCACCACCAACUGCAUUUCUCACCCGAGCAGGACUUAGCCCCCUUAAAGGAGACGAAGCCGAAGACGUCCAAAGCUUACUAGGAGAAGCAGGUCUAGUACUACCUAAACUUUUUGGAGCACUGAUUCUAGACCCGGGGCUCGUAAACAACGGUGAACCUGGAUCCUGCAACUGCCUUAACCGGCUAUUCGUUUCUUGCCAAAACCGAGCAGAUACAAGGAUAUUAUGGGAACCAUUCCUCCCUUUGGAAACCCCAUUUCCUCCAUUGGUGCUACCAGAUGACACACUAUCAGUAUCAGAUGCAGUGAGAUCAUAAGAAACCUCAUUUACAUAAUUGGCAUCAAGCAUUAAUGAUUGUUGCAAUGACUUAACCAUCACUGCACCAGAUCCGAGCAUUUUCCUUUCACCAUAACAAUCCAAGCUCCUCGACAGCGGAUUCGAACCCGAACCCGAACCCGAAUUCGAAUUCCCUUCCCGGGUUCUCCCCGGCCAACGGUGCCGAUCCACCGGUUUUGAGUUCUCAGCGUGAUCUCUCACUGGAGUAGUUUUACGCCUCUCGGGAGUUACUGCUUUCCUAGUACAACCCACUUGGGGCUUAGCCUUACUAACCGGAAUCGAAAACGACUCACCUUGAAACGAAACGGAUAAGCUCCUCGAUGAAGUGAUUAACAUCUUGGUAGCAGCUGAUAAUUCAGUGGACACCUGGUCACCAGGCCGCCUCCGGUCCACGGAUUGAGACCGUUUAGGAAGCACCGUCGCCGUUUUAUUCCCCGUCGUCGCCACCGCUGUCGUAUUAGUAGAACGGGAAAGAAGAGGAGAAGGGAAUCUCGUCGGCAACUUGGCUGCUGCUGCCGCCGCCAUUGUUGUUGCCGCUGAAGAAGAAGGAGACAAGUACCGUGAAGGAACUUGUCUACCUCUGGGUUUUCUUUUAACGGUGGAGCCAUUAUCGUUAAGAGGAGACCAUUUUUUCGGGGUGUCUUCGUGAUGGGUACUUUCUGGGGGAGUUUGUGAAUGAGAAAAUGCAGCCACCAUCAUCAUUAGAGACUGCCAAAAAGGAAAUUAAUCUUCUCUUCUACAUUUCCUUGGAAAGAAAAUUCUCAGUAUUAACAACCAUGGGUCUUCCUUUUCAUGGCUGAUAAACCUGAAAAAUAAUCAAAAUAUACAAGAUUUUAAGCAAUUCUCACGAUAAUGGAGAAGAACCCAUAAAGGGAUUCCAAAUGAUUCUGCAUUUAAACUCCAAUAGCAGUGAAAAACCCACAAAGAUUUUCUGGGUUUUCUAAGAUACUGAAGAAAAUAGUAUGUAUGAGGUGAGAUUUGGAAGAAGAAAAACUAAAAAAAGAGUUCUUAUGAAUCUUUGGAAAGAUGUUUAGGUUAAUUAGUUAUUCAUAAAUUAUAUUUGAGUUCUAAUGAAUUGAAAGCAUUAUAAAUGAAACUUUAUGGUGUAAAAUCAUAUAGAAAUCCAUUCAGAAACUGAUUAUAAAAUAAUAAACUUGCUUCUUCUUUUUCCCUUAAUUUUUCAGAUUUCUCGAUAAAUCAAUCUCAUAACUAUUUCAGGUUAACUGUCCCCAUUCCCAUUCUUUAAAAACUUGAAUACAUUUUAUUCUUUUGAAAUUAAUUAGUAUUGGGUAUGGUAGGUACAUCAAUUGAAUACUUAUGUUUACAAUGUUUGAUGCAAUUACUUGGUUUUUGGUUUAUAUUUUAAUCGUUUAAUUUUAAAAAGUUAAAAAAUAAUUAUUAAAUUAUUUGAAAUUUUUAUUUAAAUCACCAAAUUAUUAAAAUUGUUAUUGUAUGACCUUUUUUAUUUGCACCGCAUGCACCAAUCGAAAGUUUUCAUUCCCUUUUUCUUCUAUAGUUUAGUAUUUUUUUUUUAUAAAACAAGUUUGAACGUCACGAAUCUGCAAAGCAAAAUCAAAACAGUUUUCCUCUCCGAUCUUCUGCAUUGACCACCAAAUCGACUUGGAGUUAAGGUAUGUUCUUCUAUUCGUUGAUGGGUACUUAUCCAUCGUACCGAUCGUCGAAUCAUUACUUGGAGCUCACUAGCCUGGCUUAUGAAAAAAAAAAACUCAACACUCCGGUGACUUAAAUGAAGACUCUUGAAUAGUUUAGUAACUAUUUUAUAACAUUUUGAACUUAAGUGAACCUUAACAUAUAUUUACUAAUAAUUUAAUAUUUUUGGGUGUAGUUUACCCUUACAAAAUAACAAUGUAUCAAAUAUAAAAUAGACAGAUCUCAAAAUUAUACAUGAACUUUGAUUUUGUGUAAUUAUACAGACGAAAUUUUGAUCGUGGUUCAAAUGCAUAAAUGAAACUUUGAUUUUAAUUCAAUUAUAAAUAUUUAAAGAAACGAAGAAAUCGAUAUAUUUUUAUAUUGGAUAAAUUCAAUUGUCUGUGUAUGCAAUAUAAAUAUAAAAUGAUGAUAUAUCGAUAAUUAUAUUAAAAGUUUGUAAAAAUUAUAUCAGAUUAAAAUUUCAUGUAUAAAAUUAUAUAUUAAAUUAAAAUUUAUAUAAAAUUAUAAAAUAAUGAGAAUAUAUAAUCUUAUUAUUAUAAGUAUGAAAUAGAAGAGAUAAAUGAUGAAUGCCAAUGUUAUAUUUUACAACUUUUUGUAUAAAAUCUCUAAAAGUAAAAUUAUAUGAAUAUGAAGAUGACCUUUCAAAAUUAAAUUUUUGUUUUCUUUUUUGUAGUACAAAAAUUGAGUACUUUUCAAUCACAUUAAGCAACUAUCUACUUCUUCAAUUUGAAGCAUACAUCAAUGAGGACCAUGAAUUAUUUAGGGAAAAAAUUAUAAAUAUUAAAAUUACACAUUAAUUUCAGUUUAAUGUGUAAUUUGAUAUAUAAAAUUUAAUCUGAUAUAAUUAUACACGUAAAUUUUUUUAUCAUGAUUUAUAUAUACACAAUCAAAAUUUUGUUUUGAUUUCAAAAACGUUGAUGAUGUUAUUAGCCUUUUGUGAAAAUUGAAUCAAAUUACACAAAAUCAAAGUUCAUGUAUGGCAUUACACGUUGAACUGAAAUUUUUUAUAUAGUUUUUUUAUAUUUACCCAUUAGUUAUAAAAUGUAAGUUUUGUUAUUUAAAUUUUUUUUUUACAUUCUCAUAGUUAAAUUUGGAUGAGACUGGACCUAAAUUUAAAAUAUCAUGUUUACAAGUUUGAUCUAAUUUGAACCGAAUAAACAUAGGUGAAGCUAGAAAAAAAAUUUAGGGGAGGCUAGAUUUAGGUUAUGCAUUUUUUAUGAGAGUUGAAAUGUAAUUUCAUCAUUGUAUUAAAUUAUAUUUUUCUUAAUUUUUUAAACAAUUAAAUUAAUUUUUUAUUAUUUUGGGGGUCAAAAUACAAUUUAACUAUUUAUUAACUUAUAAUUUAUAAACUUUAUAGGGCCAAAAAUGUUAUAUUCUUAUUUUAGGAGGCCCUCGCUUUGGCACCUGCCACCUCCUCAACAUCACCCCAGUCAAUGAAUAUCCUGACCAUUAAACAUGUUUAAUUUUAAAUCGAACAAUAAAUCAUAAAAAAAUAACAACUAUUUACAGUCCAAUAAAAUAUAAUUAUUAGAAUUUAAAUUUGAAAUGUAUUAAUUAAUAUCUUUUAAAAAUAAUUUUACAAACCAACUAAUUUAACCUAUGAAAAUAAAAAGCACAAAUCUUUGUAUUAAUGUUACAUUAACUUGAUUAAAAGGUUGAACAAUUUAAGCAAAGGAGGGACAUGAAUGAGCUACCCCCCAUGAAAAGAGCUUCCAAGCAGCUGAGGUUGAUGCAAGUAACUGAGCCCUUGUAUUAUUUUUUUUACUAUUGUUCACGUGUUUACAUUUGAUUGACUUAAACAGUCACGUGAGAUUUAUUUUUAAUGCAAAUGGGGGCUAACAUGAUGGAUGGAAUAAAAGUAAUGAACGUAAAGUGAUAAAAAAAAUGUAGUAAAAGGGCCAAAGUAAAAAAUUCACUAUAAUACAAGGGCUAAAAUAAGCAUUAACCCAUUUAAGAAAAAAAUUUAUUAAAAAGAAGGAAUGGGAUUGUGAUUAUUGCAAGCAAAGCUAUAACCCAUUUGUUAAUUUUAGUUUAAUAUAAGAUGGAAUGUCUCUAUUUCUCUCUCUCAAUCUCUAUUCUUCCUUCCUUCCAACUCUUUUUUUAAUUAUUUUUCCCCUUUUUUUUAAGUUUCUAAUAUGUCAACUUAUCCUUCUGUUGUCAUUUUAUAUAUAUUAAUUUUCAUUAUUCAACUUUAAAAAGUUACAAAAUAGUCACUAAAUUAUUUAAAAUUUUUUAUUUAAGUCAUUGACCUAUUAAAUUUUUUUAAAAGUUCGGCUGAUGAGCUCCAAGCGACAAUUUGACGAUUGGUAUGGUGGAUUAGUGCCCAUCGACAAUGAAGAACAUAUAUUAGAUCUAAGUUGAGCGGACGGUCAGUGUUGGAGAUCGGAGAAAAAAGUUGUUUUAAUUUGGGUUCGCAAAUUCAUGACGUUAAAGAUUGUUUCAUAAUAAUAAAAAAUAUAUACUAUAGAAGAAAAGAAGAAGGAGAACUUUCGGUUAGUGCAUGUGGUGUGAAUAGAGAAGGCUAAACAAUAACGAUUUCAAUAGUUUGAUAACUUAAACGAAAACUUUCGAAUAGUUCAGUGACCAAAAUAUACAUUCUAAUAGUUUACUAACUUUAAUUUACCCGGAAGAUAUUAAUAUAAAAAAUAUAAGUUAUAUAUAAAAUAAAUAUAUACUCCAUAUAUGUAUGAAAGUUGAAACCCAAGGAAGUGAAAAACAAUGAUAUUAGUCAACUAUAAGAAAAUAUAGGAAAGGUGGUGGGUCGUUUAUUUGAUUGUUCCACACUUGUAAUCAUAUGAAAAUGACCCAAGCAAAAUGCUUAAAUUAUUAUUUUUAUAAUUAUUUAUUAAAAAAAAUGGGUGUUAUGAUCCAUAUGUCUAAAAACAAAUAGAAGUUUCUGCUUUGCUGCUGGGUUUACAUCAAAGCCCUUUUUAUAUAAACAUUCUUUUACAUUUUUAAUUCCCUUAUAUUCUGGAAAAUAUAUGAAGUUUAUGAACUAAUAUUUUGUUAUCAUCUACUUUAAUUUGGAUAGUAACGAUGGUGGUAUCAAAUAUUAUUAGUUUUAUUCGAGAAAUUUUUGAAGUGUUAUUCACUUAGACGAAUGCUAUUAUUCCCGAUCAAGGUUUUCUUGGUAGUAUAGUUGCGCAUACUCUUAUAUGCUCACAAUUUCUUGGUAGGCUCAAGCACUCGGCUCUUGUCAAAGUAAAGACAAAGCUGUGACGGAUUAUAAUUAAAUUGGAACUAUUGAUGAAUUUUUAAAUUUAACCAUUGAAAAAAAUGAAAGGGAGGUUGCAACUGAAGAAGGGAAAGAAAAGGAAAAAAAAGGGUGAAGGCGUGAAUGAGAACACACACAUUCAUGAUUAAACCAAAUGCAUGAUUAAACUAAUUAACCAACAAUUAGACUUUCUAAUUAGAGGCUGUUAAGACUUUGUAAUUGGUCAGCUGACUUUAGCUUGCAAUUUCGUCAGCAAAUUGUUGAUGUUGUUAAGCUAUGACUUACGAAAUGAUGGUGGCUAGAUGAAGGAUGAAAACUUUUCAAACAUUGCAGCCAUGUGGCAUAGAAUAAUUGGUUUGGAAAUGAAAAAGACGUCAUCAUCCACUAAGUCAUGUUCUAAUUUGUUUGUUUAUUUUGGCGUUGUAUCAGUCUAACCAACUUUCUAAGUGAUUACAUACCUGUGAAAUGAAAAUGAUUGUUGUUGCUUUCCAACUAUGCUUCUCUUUUCCACUUUCGCCUCACGGUAUCAGAAUACAAAUUAUUCGAGUUUGAUUCGAAAAAAACUCAAAUCCCAUUCAAUAACUAUCAAACCAAGCUUAAACUAUCAUACUUGAUCUCGAGUACGCAAAUUGAUACACAAGUUUAACUAAACUCAAGUAGUUCAAUUAUGUCUCAAACAAAAUUUAAGCUUAAAAAUUAAUGUUUGAUCAAGCAUGAGCUUACAAAUAUUGAACCGAAUUUUGGCUCGAUUACAUCCUAUUAUUAUGACUCUUUUAGAGGAUCCCAAUUAAAUCUGGAGCCAAACUCAAUCAAACUCAACUCAAUUUUCUACAUUCAUCUAAAGUCUUAAAAAAAACAUUCGUCUCCACCCGAUUUAAACAAACAUGGGUUCAUUCGUUUCUUCUUUGAUCUUUCUUUCCUACCAUUCAAGCAAAACCCAAGACUAUUUUACUGAUUCCGCAUGCGCAAAAGCAUGUAUCUUAGUUUAUUUAUGCCAUUGUUCUAUGGCACCACCUGUCUUGGGAUCUAAGAUACAAAAUAAAUAACAAACAUGUUUUUAAAAAGGAUUUAAUUUAAAAAAAAAAUCAUUCAUCUUCACAUCUCAACUAAAUAAUUGUGAUUGGUUACCAACAAAUUUCACCACGUGCUUUUAAUUCGAUUUCUAACCUUUAAAAAGAGACAAUAACACAAACAAGAUUAAAGACAAAGGUUUGGUCUGAAUCAGUGUAGGAAUUUAAAGAACAUCUAAGGGAAGAAAGCCAAUUUGACAAUUAUUUGAACCAUUGUUAAGCAUAAAUUCUAUCAUGAAGAAAGGUACAGAGAGGGUACAAAAGAUAACUUGAAGAUGAAGGAACUUAAUGAAGGAAGUUGGUGAAAUAGACAAUUUGCAGAUACCCUUUUUUUGCUAGUUGUUGAACUCACUUUUAAAUCUUGUCAACUUCUAUAUAUAUAUAUGAAAACAUGACCUCAUCUCUCACUGAAUAUCACACAAAGAACUUUGUUAAGCAACAUCUUAACAGGAGAAGUUGAUAUCUUAGCUCUCUUACAAGGAGUAUUCUAUGUUUAAGACAUAUUGCCUACUGUUUAGGAAAAAAAAGGGACCAUUAUGCAUAAAUAAACUUAAAAGCUAAGUUAUGGUGCAAUAGGGUAGCAUUACAAACCUAUUAUAAACGUGCUAUAGAGGCCCACAAGUUAAGUAAACUUCUAGAUUAAAUUGGGAUUUUACAAUCCCUCUGUUCUCUAAUGAGAGACCUUGGAUGACCCAAGAGAAAAUGAUUCUAACAUGCAUGAACCAUACUAAAACCGAAUCGCCCAAAGCAAUAGCAUAUUUUACAUAAAGACUACAAUUUUGACGGUUUCAAUGAGUAACUAAUAACUGCUAAAUGCUAAUCGUUUUUCGAAUAUCAAAUGUGACAGUAAGACUUCAGAACCAUACAUUCUGUGGGUUUUAAGGAAUAAAUAAUUUAAGCCAGCAUCUUAAUUCCAUUUAGAGAACACAGGAAAUGCCAAUAACCAACAAGAUCAUCACCUUGCAAGGACAAUCAAUAAGCACACUUAACAAUAUGCAGUCACUCCAUGGACCAUACUAAUCAAACGCCUUUAACACCAUAACAAGACCAAACAAUAAGACUUCAAAACUAUAUGUACUGUGGUUUUUAAUGAAUAAACUACGUAAGCCAACAUCUAAAUCCAUUUAGAGAACACAUAAAAUGCCAAUAAUCAACAGGAUCAUCACAUUGCAUAGACAAUAAGCACACUUAACAAUAUGCAGCCAUUCCAUGGACCAUACUAAUCAAAGUCCUUUAACACCAUAGCCUAUGACCAAAUAUGACAAUAAGACUUCAGAACCAUACAUUCUGUGGUUUUUAAUGAAUAAACAAUUUAAGCCAACAUCUUAAUUCCAUUUAGAGAACACAUGAAAUGCCAAUAAUCAACAAGAUCAUCACAUUGCAAUGACAAUCAAUAAGCGCACUUAACAAUAAAGAAAAUACCAAAUUAAACCAGUAUGAUUACUUCAUUGAGGAACCACAAAGUAUUCUUAGUUCAACAAUCACUUUGGUAAUUCACCAAAACAAAACAGCAUCUUGUUCUUUCAAAUUCAAAAAAAUAAAAAUACUAACAUACUACAGAAGGCUCAUAGAGGGACAAAGUCCUUCCUACUUUACACCAUACAAAAUUCUUCAACGGUACUGCAAAGGAAAAAAAGACAAGAAAACACCCAAGUUUAAGAAACUGUUGAUAUGAACAAUUAUGAAGAUUGAAGAUUAAGAUAACGUUAACCAUCAAAAGAGUAAUACCUUGAUGAAUCCGAUUUCCUUGGCAUUGCUACGGAAGCACUGCCUGCAACACAUGAGACCGUACUUCCUGAUGAUGGCAUGGGGGUUCCCACAAACACGGCUAUCAAAACAAAACAAAACAAAACAAACAACCCUAAGUCAUUGUAACAUAAUAAAACACAACAAGACAAUAACAGAUUUGACAAAAGCCUAAGAUGCUACUACUCUCACAUUUAUUACUAAUAAUCUCGAACAAAGCAAAUUCCCAGCCACUAACACUUAUAUGCAAAAAUAAAAUUGCUACAUCGUUCGAUUAGGUAUCGAAGAAAUCAACAACCUAAAUUUUGAUUUCAUUCCGUUGUACUACUAUAUGCCUAAAAUAAAACAUCAGUCGGAAAACUAGUAAUACAUGCUAAGGAGUUAACAAAAAUAGCUCUUGGGAAUUUUGCAAUGCAAUGCAAUGCAAAAAAAAAAAACAGAGAGAGAUGAAACAGUUACCAGGCGCGAGAGCCAGGGCCGUAGGUUUGGGGGUGAGAGUUCCAGACGUUAGAGUGACCCAUGAUUGCUCUGAAAAUGCGAGAGAAAUGAGACUGGAAUUGAAAACCCUAGAUUUCACGGAGGUGUUUGGAUCAUUUAGAAAAUGAUUAUAUAUAUGCGGAGCCUAAAACCCUAGUUUCCGAAUUAAGCGGGGCCCCGAUUUGCUGACCCGUAUACAGCUGUGGGUUUGAUUGUUCCAUAAAAGCCUAUUUAGGCCCAAUAACAUCUCCUGGCCAAACUAGUUUAUAAAUGGCCCAAUAAUAUGAUUAAAUUAAAGAUGAUAUAUAAAUGAUUUAAAUUGAAGUUGCAUUUUUAAAUCGGAAAAACACAUUAUUUAAUUAAAAAACAUAGGGUAAACUAUAUUAUUAGUUACUAAAUUAUGAUUAAGUUUUAUUUUUAGUCACUUAACUAAAAAAAGUUACAAAUUGGUGACUGAAUUAUUCUAAAGUUUUCAUUUAAGUUUUUAAACCGUUAAAAUCGAUGUUAUAUGGCUUUCUCUGUUCGAAAUAACUAAACCAGUUGGAAGCUCUCUUCCCCCUUCUCAUCUACAGUUUAGUUUUUGUCAUGAAAUAACUUUGGACAUCAUGAAUAUGCAAACCGAAAUUCAAACAACUUUUUUCUCUAAUAUCUGACAUUGACCGUUAGAUCGACUUGGAUUUAAGGGAUGCUCUUCUACUCAUUGAUUGGUACUAAUCUACCGAACUGAUCGUCAAAUCGUCACUUGGAGCUCACUGACGGAACUUUUUUUAAGAAAAAGCUUAAUAGCUCAAUGACUUAGAUAAAAACUUUUGUAUAGUUUAGUGACUUAAAUGAAAACUUUUGAAUGGUUUAGUGAUCAAGUUGUAACUUUUUUUAGUUAAAUGAUCAAAAUGAAAAUUUAACCAUAAUUUAGUGACUAAGGGUAGAAUGUACCCAAAAAUAAAAGCAUGGAACUAAAUUGAAGGAUAUUUUAACCCUAAAAGACUCGUCUUUUGCUGGCAGGCUUCAUGGCGAACCGAGCGGGCUCUUCAUCGUCACGCCUGGUAACCAUUGAUUUCAUCACUAAUUGAUCUCUAAAUACAGCUUCACUUGAAAAAUAACCAUCGACACAUUUGUUCUUUAACACUUCUGCAACUAUUCUGCUACUGAAUUUUCUUGAGCAUUCCAUUUCCCAGUAGUUUCUUCCAUUUUCACUAGUUUUUUUUUUUAAUUCAUUUGCGUUUUCAGGAAACCCUUCACGAAGAAGAUGAUUACGACUCAUACGGCGCCGAAUCAGGAUGGGUGGAAGCUAAAACGCACUGUGAUCACUUGCCUUCCCUAUCUUCUGAUCUCACUCACAUUCCAAUCCCUAGCACUCCCUGCAGCAGGUCAUUAUCCCCUAUGUUUUUUGAAUUCUAUAAUUCUUGUUAAACUUCUUUAAUUCAUGUCCUUGUUUGGUUGAUUAUUUUGAUACUUCUAAUAAAAAAUUGGGUUUAGACAUUUAGUUUUGUAACAUAUUUGCAGUUAAUUUUUUGGCUUAAUUGCCUAUACCUGAAGUGAUCUUCUGAUUCAUAUUGAGGGACUAUUAAUAAUUGGCGAAUCUAGGAAUACAUGGUUAAGGGGAUCCAAGAUUAAAUUAUAAAUUUUUGUGUUAAAUUGAAUCAUUAAGCUUUUAGAAUAGCUAAAAUGCAAUUUUUAUAUUUUAAUCAAGGGAGGCUAAGGUCCUGCCUAUGGCAUGUAAAUGAGAUACCAGUGCUUAUAAGGGAUUCGAGUUCAACUUGAAAAUUUUGAAUUCAAUUUGGUAUUUAUAGAGUGAGCUCAAGCUUGCUAUCAAUCAAGCCAGCAAAAUUUGAGCAUUUUAAUACUCAAUUCAAAUGGAUCAUGAGCCUAAUCGAGUUUUCUUUUUUAGUACAUUUUUAUAUUAUCAUGUAGAAAGAGCUUAACUCCGAACAAGCUUAAUCAAGCUAGAGUUCGAGCUUGAAUACGAAAAUUGAUCAACAAGCUUAGUUUAAGCUCAAGCUUGAGUUUAGAAAUUCAUGUUCAAGUUGAGCUUGAGACAAGUAUUGAGUCCUGAACUUUGAGUCGAGUUUGAGCUUGAACUUGUCACUAAUCGAGUUCUGCUUGACUCGAUUACACCUGUAGGCCCCUGCUUGCCCUCCUUUGCAUCCACCUCUGCUAUUAGUAUUUUAAGUAAUUGAGCUACUAAAACAUCUCUGAAGUUUGCAUUUUUAGGAUUCUUUAAUGUAGAUUUUUAGGGCAAGAUCAUACGAAUUCAUUAUCCUAAUCUUACAAAACAUUUUAUGCAUACAAGGUGCCAGCACCCAAGUGAGAAUUGGUUAUGCUUGUCCUGCAAAGUUGUGCUUUGUAGCCGUUUUGUGAAUAAGCAUAUGCUUGAGCAUUAUCAGCAAACAACCCAUUCCAUAGCGCUCAGUUUUAGGUAUGUAGUUAUAAUUGCCUUCUUUUUUAACUUCCCAUUUUGCUAUAUAUUUGUUGCUCGAGAAAGAGAAAGUAUCUACGGAAGUUUUUCUCGGUAACUUCUUUUUUCUUGGUUGUGUGAAUCCAGUGACCUGUCAGUUUGGUGUUUUGCUUGUGAUUCUUAUCUCGAUGCUCAAUUGAUUCAGCAACUGCGACCUUUUCAUGAGACAGCUUACAUAUUGAAAUUUGGUCAAGCCCCUCCUUUUCGGUCUGUUGAAUCUUCUCGGGUGGAAGAUAAACCGGCCAUGGAUGUGCCAUCAAGCAGUUGAAUCUGGUAUGGUUUUUAGACCGAAGGGCUGUAAUGGCAAAAGAAGGCUAGUUUGGAAUUGAAUCAAACAAUAAAUUAGUUGAAUUUAAUUAUAUGAGUUCUGUUCUAUGCAUACUGAUGGCUAGAAAUAGAUGGCUUUUUCAGGUUCAUAUUGCCUCUUCCAAAUACAAAACCACAUAUAUUUACUCAGUCUAGGUUAAGGCAGAGAAAAUUUUGCAUACCUUAUUCAGCUGUUGAGAUCUUGCUGCCCUUAUGAAUUGUUUCAAUCUCAACACAUUUAAUAAUUUACACAAACAUUUGAUCUUCUGCCCAUAUAAAUUUACUCAGUCUAGGUUUUUAUCUGAAUUGUUCUUUGAUAUUGAAUAAGUCUUCAUUAGACGACCAGGCAUUCUGUUACACAGAAUUUGCUGCCAUGUCAUAGACCUUGUAUUACUAAGGUAACCUGUGUGUUUCGGUUGUCGAGCAUUUGUUCAAGUUUCACUAAUGCACCUGCAUUCGUGUAGACGGAUUAUUUUCCGAUAGGGUAGUGAGUUCCCUCGGAAUGGAUCCCUGUUAGAUUUUUGUUUAGAUGAUUGUCUGAUAGAUUCGAGCACGACAACUUAUCGAUGUUUAAGUUAGGGGAAUCUCAGUGACUUAUGUGAAAGAUACAAAUCCAUGAUUGAACACAAACAUUAAGUUUGCACGAAAAAAAUCAGCUAGUGAGUUUUUUACAGGCUUGUGAAAGAGAAUUUAAGAUAAAUUAUAGAGUACCAAGAUACAACAUAGAUAGAUGAUAUGCAUUACAAGCUGUCUUGACAUCUCCGUUCUUUCUGUGGAGUUUCGAUGUUUAUUUUUUAAGAUGAGGAAAGCACGCGUACACGUCGGACUUUGGAUGCUUCGCCUCAGCGUGCUCCCGGCAUUUCACUUCCGUUGUGGUACACAUGAAUGUUUGCAUACACACCUUGCACUGUUUUCAGGCACCAUCAUAAACCAGUUAUGUUAUCAGAGGAAACCCAAGCAAAGGACGACAAUGAUAUGAACAAGAAACCAAAACCCGAGUCAUGUAUCUGAUAAUGUAGUUCAAUGUGUCUAAAUUCAUUUUGACAGUAUCAACUAGUGAUGUAACAUGAUGAAUGUUCGAAGUUAAGAAAUGUUAUUUCUGGAAUUCUCAAGUGCAUUUAUUACCAAAUUCCACUCAAACAGAACACUAGAAAGGCAGUUUUUGCAAUCAAUGAUUACUUAUAAGAAUUUUAGGAAGGCUCAGACAAUCAUACAAAUUCUUCUCAUCAAUAUUUGUAACUUGAGAAAGUUCAUGCAAGAGAAGCUUAAAUUCAAGUAUUGUGUCUGCUCGUGGUUUUCUUCAAUGGAAGAUGUAGAGAAAAGGCCAAUUCCUCCCUAAAAUGUCUUCCAAGUGUCAUCUGUUGGGAGUCGAUAAAUCCCUCAACAGGUAGGUAUUGCCCUCGGUUGGAAUUUGUCUCCCAACUCUAACGAGAGAUCAAGUGCUUGAGGCAAUGGUUCAUAGAGCGGGAGUAACUUUUCUUCUAAGUGGCAUACACCACGCACGGUCCAUCUCAACGAGGUGCUCCAGCUGUGUGAACCUAUCACCUCAAGCAUUCAAGCUCUCGACUUUCCGAAGACAAACUCUUAUCACUUUGAAGACUUCGGUCUCCCUCGACAAAACAAAAUAAUGACCAAAAGUCUACUGACAAUGAACAAUUGACAAGCGAAAAACACUCUCAAAUCGUAAUUCGCGCGUAGGAACUACGCAAUAAGUUCCCAUGAAACCAUACAAAGCUUUAAUCCAAGAAUCUCUCUCAAGAAUUUCAACAAACACUCUCUUCAAAAUACAUCACAACAAAAAUAGUCAAACUACAAACACAGAAAACUAGCGAAGGAAAUCCCAACUUUUUCAAAGGAAGAUAAACAAAUAAAUCAUAAACCACUGGACAAAAACAACAGAUCAAGCAAAGUAUAGUUUUAAAAUCAAAGAAAGAAAUGAAAACCAGAGCAUCCAAAGAUACUACCUGGAUGGACAUGGCCUUCUUGUUAGACUCAAGCUGGCUUCCUAUCAAAAAACCAAAGCUUAAAGAUCAAUGAUGGAUCUAACUAAAAAGAUGGUCUAAAAAAAACAGACCCAAAGAUUAGCAAAGAGAUGGAGAAAGAAAGAAAAAGUGGAAAGGAAGGAUUUGGGGAGCACCUUUGCCAGCAGCUUUUUGCUUUUCCAAGUUCUUCUCACGGGCCAUCUUGGAUUUUUGGCCAUUUCCUCCUCCCAUGGUGGAUUGAUGAGGGAAAAAAAGAAGGGUUUUUUGAUCGAAUUGGAAGUGAAAACUUGGAAGAGGGAACUAUCAGAGAUGAUUAAGGCAAAAUAAGGGAAAUGGGGGGCAGAAUAGAGACAAGACUAUGAACCACAAAGAAAGUAGAUUCGAAUAAAGUAAUGCAAGUGGGGCCAAAAGGAUAAAGGCUGGAAAUCGCCGAUAAAGGAAAACGCCAACUAGUUGAAUUUAGGUACAUCAGUCAGAUCUGUUACUGUUCUAUAUAUCACCCGAUUGUGAGGUGGAAUUACAGGGUAUUAUGGGGGAGUUUGGGUUCCGAGCGAGUUUAUUUAAGGUAUUUAGAUUAAUUAUUUAAGUUCGAAUUUAGUCAAAAAAUAAUUUUUUUUAUCUAAAUUUAAUCUAAUUUAAAAAAAAAUUAGAUCUAAUUUGAUCCGUAUAUAUUUAAUUUUUUUAAGUUACUUUUGUUAUACAAUUAUAAUAAAAUAUAUAAUAAUUCAGCCUGAAGUCCGACCCGAUAAAUCUCUCUCUAUAUAUAUAUUUAAAGAUUCUCUUUGAGAGGAGGGUACUUCAUACACUCUUUUUCUUUUAUCUUCUUCUUCUCUAUUGCUUCACCAGAAUGUCUUUCCCUUCUUUUUCCACGUACUAAGAAUGAUAAAAUAAAAAUUUUUUAACACAUUAAAAAUUAUUUAUAUUAAAAAAACACUAUCUUAAAUAUAAUAAAUAUUUUUUAUAUUAAAAAACAUAAAUAAAAAUAUUAAAUAUUUUAUUGUAUUAAAUAUAAAUUUUAAAAUUUUAUAUUUUGGUUUAGGUUAUUUAGUUGAAUAAGUUUUUUUAAAAGUUUUGAGUAAUGAGUUUAAUUGUUAUUGGGUUAAUGAUUUAAUAUAAGUAUAAAUAUAUAUAAUUAUUAUUUAACAUAUAUAUAAUUAAUAUAAUAUUAUUUUAUAACAUAAUAUUCGGGCUGAAUCGAGCUCGGGCCAAGAAAAUCUUACUAAAAGCUCAAAUCAUAUAGAAAAUAGACCUUAAUUUUACCUAAGCUCAUUUUUUGGGUGGAUCUUGAGGCUUGGGCUAGCGGUCCAGCCCAUGAGUAGGUCUAGGUGGAAUAAUAAAUAAAUAUUUAAUGUUUGAAUUUAUUUUUUAGUAAAUAAGUACCGUUAAACAAUAUUUUUUAAAUUGAAUUGGUGGUCGAACCGGUUAGGCCAUCAAUUCACUGGUCCAAUCGAUUUAAUUAAAAAAUUAUUAAUUAAAAAUUUUUUUCUAUUCAACUGAUUUAAUCGUUGAUUAACGAUUCAACUGAUUUUUUACUUAAUUUAUACUGAUUCUUAUAUACAAAAAAAUAUAAAAAAUAGUUAUAAUAUUAUAAAAUUUAUAAUUUUAAUCAAGAUAUGUAAAUUUAAAAGAGGGGUAUUUUGAUAGUUUUUAGGGGUGGGCCGAUGCAGGCUUGAUCAAAACUGAGAUCAAUUUCAUCCUGACCCAAAACUCGAUUUUCUUUUCAAUUUCAUCCCCUCUCUAACCAAAUCGGGUUGAAAUCCAAUAGAUUUGGGUUAAUUUGCUAGUCAUCAAUUAUUGCUUGGACCCUGUCAACUCUAAGAUCAACUGGAUCUUCAUCAAUUGCCCUCAAACAUUUUACAUGAAUGUUUCCAAAAAAUAAUAGCAAUUGGAAUUGAAAAAUUAUUUUUGUGUCGUUUUAGUUCGAUUGGUAUCGGUAUUAUUGUCAGUGCAGGAGGAUGUGGGUUCAAGUGCGUUGAAAUGUAUUAUCCUCCUAUUUAAGGGUUGAGAAUGGGCUAUGGGUAGUUUUAGACUUAUUAUAUCAAAAAGAGCAAAUAUGAUUAAUGUUAAAAAAUAGACCCUAAAAACUUGACCAUUUUUUUCUCUUCUUUUUUACUUGAGAAUAUUACGGGUAAAUUUCAAUUCCAAUCCUUCUAUUUUUUAAUUACAAAAAAUGGUUAAAUUUUAAUCUGAUCCCUAUAUUUCACUCAAUUUUGAGAUUUAAUUUAUAUAUUUUAAAAUUGACAUGACUUGAUAUCUCAACUUUUAUAAUGUCAUUGGUUAGUCUAAAUAUUUUUUUCUCGUUAAAACAAUGGUGUGAAUUUUUAAGAAUUGUUAGCACCAUGAAAAAUCUUUGUUAAAUUCGGGUUUAUUACAAUGUUAUUUUUUUGUUAUGUGGAUACCAAUUUAUUUUAUUUUAUUUUUUUGAAAAUGCCACACCAACACAAUAAUUAAGACAAUGUUAACAAAUAGACCUAAAUUUUUAAAUUUGAAAAGUAAAGAGACUAAAUUUUUUAAAAUAAAAAUUUAGAGAUUAAAUUCUAAAUAUACGAAUAAUACAAAAAUUUCAAACAAAUUAUAAUUUUUAAAUUUUUACACUAUAAAUUAAUUAAUAAUUAAUUAAUAAACUCAACAAAAAUUGUGGGUGAAACCAUACUAGUAAGUAGUAACUAUACAUAAAAUGUAUUGGACUUGCUGCCACGUGUCACACCCAACUAUAUUCAUUUUCUAUUCUUUUUGCAUUUUUACCAAAAACUGUUAAAUUUCAGCUUUGGUCCCUUUAAUAGGCCUAAAUUUGAGAUUUAAUCUAUAUACGUUAAUUUCUAAAAUAAUAUGUCCCUUAUAGUUUUAUAAUGUUAUUAUUUAGUACAAAUAGUUAAUAUUGUUUACUUUUUUAUUAAAACAUUAUGUGGUUAUAUAUAAAUUGAAUACCCUAAGUCUUAGAGACUAACUUGUGGCUUCCCAAAAUAUUUGCGUUAUUUUUUCUUUUUUACAUUAUAAGACAAUGGUCAAAUUUUAAUUUUAACCCUAAACUGUAUUGAAACUUGAGAUUUAAUCUAUAUACUUUAUUUAUCUUUUACAUAAUUCGGUCCCUCUAAUUUUAUAAAGUCAUUAGUUUGUCUAAAUAGUUAAUAUUGGUCAACUAUUUCAAUCAAAAUGUUGGCGUCAAUCUAGAAAAAAAUAUUUCAUCAUGACGAUUUUGAAUGGGUAUUUUUAAGAAAAAUUGUAAUAAAUAUUUUCAAUGUUUUUUUUAAUAUAUGGCUACGAAGUGAAUAUAUAUUUUUUAAUUUCAAAAUGUCAUACUUGAGAAUUAAUAAAAGAAAUUUAACGAUGGUAUCAAUUGGACCUGGAAUUUUAAAUCCAAAAAGUAGAUUAGUAUAUUCUCAAAAAUAAAAGUAAGGGGACUAAAUUCCAAAUGUAUGAAGUGUAUAGGGACUUGGAGAAUAUUUUAACAUUUGAAUUUUUUACUUUAUAAUUUGACAUAAACAAAUAAUCAACCCAACACGAAGUGUGGGCUAGGAACCACGCUAGUUUAUAUUGAAUUUUAAGUUCAAGAUAAGUACAACAAAAUUACCUCUAACAUGGUCAAAGACGAAACCAAAAUAAUGUUGAUAAUUAAGAAAUAAAGAAAUAUAUAAUUGUUGAAGGGGUAUCGACUUCUUCCAGAGAUGUCUUCAAUAUGCCGUCCUCUAAGCAACCGACUGAAGCCCCCAACAACCAAAGGUAUUGUCCUUGGGAGAGAGUAUUGUCCCCAGCCUCCGCGAAGAGCCAAUGUGCCGUGAGUGGCUACCCUGAAAGUCUACUUCAUACAUGGGUGCCUCGAUUAUACGUAGACAUAUGACCACUCAUUGAGAGGCAAUGAAAGCAUCUCGCCCUUGGUGGAGUUUAAACCCCUCACCAAUAACAUAUAAGUCACUUAUUGGGGUAUAUCUGACCCAUAUAGAUCACAAUGACAAUCUUUUUUAAUUCAUUUUCUUCUUCUUCUUCUUUAUCAAGCACCGUCAAUUUUAUUUUCUAUCCACAUUUUCGCUGUCAAUUUUUUUAUUCUAUUUUUUCAUUUAACUAAACGUACCUUAAAUGUCAGUUUGAAUAUGACGCGGAGCACGUGUAAAAUACAUGAAUCAAAUUGUAAUUAAAGACAUGUUUAUAAUGUAUUUGUCACAUAAAUAACUUGAAUUUGACAUGUUAAAAGAAACAUAUAGCAUCAUUAAUAGGGGUGAAUUUAGAAAUUUUCUAAACAUUGGAAUUGAAUUAUAAAAUUUUUGAGAGUUCAAAGUGUAAUUUUAUAAUGUAUUAACUUAUAAUUUCAUCAUUUUAAAAAAAUACAUUUUUUUAGAGAUGUAAAGCAUAAUUUUAUCAUUACAAAAUUUUAAUUUAAUCAUUUAUAAUAAAACUAUAAAGAAACUUCUUAGGGGUGGGUUUCAAAGCCCACAUAUCCCCCACAUUGUAUUAUCCUCUUAACGUCCAAUGAAUGUCCGAAAUUAACCUAUAUUAUUUUUUUGGUAAAAAAGUAGCAGAAAUCAGCUACAUCAACAUAGUUCUAAUGAGAAUUUCCCAUGGUUUCGAUUUGCUGAAGAUCAGCUAACAACAAUCCUCUAAUAUUCAUUGGAGGCUAUUUAAAAGUGCAAAUCAUAUUUAAAUCUUCAGCAUCCAUCUUCGCCAAGUAAUCCACAACCUUAUUUUGUUCCAUUGGAAUAUGUCGAAAUUAAUAGCUAAAUUGAUGGAAGGAGCUAAUUAUAUGAAACCAUAUUUUGAAGACUUAAUCAAAAUUCUUUGAAGAUUAGGACCAAAUUAAAAUCUAAAUUAUAAAUUGAGAACCACUGCUGCAAUUAAUCUAAAGAGUAUCAUAUAAAGCCAAAUUUGGCGUUAAAACUUUAAAUUUUCUAUUUAUUUAUCAGUUUCCCACCGUACAAGUUUUUUCCCGCGUUUCUUCGAAGGUUUCUAAUAACUUCUAUUGGUUUCCAUUUCUUAAUCCAAAAUAUAAUUUACAAAGUAUGAAGUUAAUUAUUUUUGUAAAAAAUGGAAGCUUAGUUUGCAAAUCAGAUCAAAACAUUCGGGAUUUUAGCCAUUUUUUCAGGUGAAUUACGAGCGCAUCGGAGUUAUUCUACACUCGAAGGUCGAGUGGGCCGACGACCCGACCCGCAUUCAGGAUUUGGGUCCUUAAUUGAUCGGAAUUACAAUCGCGCCGGAAAUCAUUUCAGUCACCAUAAUCGGAGGCUUGAUUUGGACGGCCGUGAUCCUCUCCGCCGUAUUCUCUACGCUCACGUGGCUUCUCCCUUUCCCUACGCUCAUUGCACAUAAUGUUUUUUUUUCGUUUGGUUGCUUAGAAAAGAAAAACGGAAAAAGGAAAAAAAUAAGUAUACGAAUUAAUAGAUGUUCUUGGAAGUGAAAAUAGAUUGAAUUUUCAUUUUGUUGAAAUAAAUUUUGAUUAAUUAAUUUAUUUUGCUUUGAAAAUCAGUAGCUUAAAGAUAAAUCUAUUAGUUGAAUUACUGAAAGUAGUUAUGAAAUGUAAAAUUUUCUCGAUAAUUUAUCUGAGUUCUGAGCCCUAAGCUAAAUUGCUGUAAAUUUCAUCCAAUAACAUAUAAUAUGUAUACAGAUAGAUAAGAUUGCUUGAUAUUGCAUUACCUUGUGAUUUGCUUUUACUUUGGGGAAAUUACUUAACAGUUAAGUGCAUUGAGCUAGUGUUGCUAGUACCUCUUCUUCAGUAAUGAAUAUUUUGAGUGUCUUUCAGAGAAAUGCUAUAAUGAAUUUGGCUUUGUCAUGCAGCAACCAGUUUGUGUAAGUAGUUCAAGUAGGCCACGUUUAAGUUCGAACUAGCGACUUCCCGGAGUUUUGCUGCGAGUAAGAGGCGCGUCCAUUUCUUCAAACAGGUUGGUGCUUAGAGCUCUCUGCAAGUUUCAAAUUCAUAGCACUUGCAUUGGUUGUAUUUACUGUGAUUAUUUACCUUGUCAAGUAGAGCUAGUAAUUCUGCAAGUUCAUAGCAUUUGCAUUAAUGCACUUAUGGCACUUUUAGUGCUUUUGCUGCACUAGUUGGACUAAAAAUAUAUCCACCAUUCUUGCUUUGACACCAAUUUCCAUUCAACCCGUUUAAAUUCUCGAAGGACAGCAUAUCUAUAACUUUCUCAACUCUACUAGAAUCCAAAUCAUGAUUUUGCUUUUUUGUUCUACUUUUAUUUCGUGGAUAUGUUGAGUGGUGCAAAAUGAUCAAAAGGGGGGCAACUAUUAAACUAUCAACUUGUGUCAUAAUCUGUAUAGGACGAUUCAGUGUCAUAUAUGGUUGAUUGUGAUCCAUUAUUGUUGCUGCAUCCAUAAAAUGAAAUUGUGGGUCUGACUGGGUUUAGCAAUAAGGAAAAGAGGUACCAUGUGAUCUUUUAGGAAGAUAGAUGGCUUGGGUUAUCACCGGUUUAUGCAUAGAUCAAUUUCAUAGGAGUAACCUAAAAUGCACUCUGAUGCAGCAAUUUGUCGGUUGCAUUGUCACUAGUGUAUUCAAUUUUCAAUAAUUGUUUUGGCGCUUGAUACCCUAGCUAUUUUUUUAUAGAAUUGCCUGCUAUAAUCAUCAUGUUUCAACAGACUUUUUUUUGUCCCUCUUUAGACAUUAGAUAUUCUGGUAAAAUUUUGCUAUUAGUCCAUAUACUAUGCACAAGUUGCAAAUUUUUGUACUUAUACUCUAAUUUGGUUAUUUUUAGUCUUUGUACUUUUCAAAUUUUGAAAAUUUAGUCCUGAACAAUGGCUGACAAAUUCAUUAAGUUAAAAUUUGUUAUUUCCAACAUCUUAUGCCACAAACAUAUUAUCACAUUUGUAAUUCUAUGUUAACUUGCUAUUUUCACAUAAUACUUCAAGAAAAUCGUUUCAUAUUAGUUAAUAAAUUUAAUAGCUCUUGUUUGAGUCAAGAUCGAAAUUUUAAAAUUUGAAAAAUAUAAAGAUUAAAAAUGAUCAAUUUGAAGGACGUGGAUUAAAUCCACAAUUUAACGCCAUAGUAUGGAACUAAUAGCAGAAAUUUUAGAGUACAUAGACUAAAACCUGCAACUUACAUAUAGAACAUGGACCAAUAGCAGAAUUUGACCACUUAUUUAUAUUCUUGAACAGAUUAAAUUCACUCUUUUUAUGCUCAAAAAAAAUCUGUCAUUACUUUGAGCCUACUUCUGUUAAUGCAUUAAAUCAGAUAUUUCUUUUGCUACUCCCCAGCUAUUAGUAGUACCAUAAUUUCCAGGCCCACUGCUGCUUGACUUGCAUCACUAACAACCAAAACGGUCCAGUCCCACUGCCGGUGUGCUUCCCAUGUAGUAUAUUAUUGUUAUUUACAUCACUUUCCACUACCACUAUUACCCAGCUAACUUCCUAGUAAAUUAGCAUUUCUAACCAUGUGGACCACUAGAACUUGUGGCACUCAGUAAUGAAGAUAUUUAUGUUUCUGUCUUUCAUUACGCAGUGGACUACUUCAAGGUCCGAACUGCGGUUUAAACAUUUUAUACUUUUUUUCCCUUUUUCGUUUUCUAAUUUACUUAUUUUGUCCUUGUUUUAAUUUUUUGAAUUUUCUUUUGACUGAAUCAGAAAUCAGUAUUUUGAUUGAUUUGAACGUCGAUUUAAUUUUUGUGACACAGCUAUCAUGUAGGCAGAGGUUUCGUUCACUAGACUUGCUUAGAUCUUGGGUUAGAGCUUGUGGGAACUGACCUUACUAUAGAAAAAGCAUAUACUAUCUCUAUUAUGUACCCAGUUGCAAGGUAUUUGAAUUAAAUCCCACUUAAAAAGUAUGAGAUUUUUAGUGAAAUUUAUAUGAACCAUGUUUGUCUCAACUUCAACAACUAGCUUUUGAGGUAUAAUUCUCCAUUGAUCUAUUUUUGUUAGUGCUUCAGUUUCCUUAACAUUGAUAGCGUGUGAACUUUAAAAUGUAAAGUAUCUAUCGGUUUCAAUGUCCCUUUCCUUGCUUGACCAACCUGCCCUACUUGUUUUCCAAAAUGGACUGAAACCAAAUUGUUUUAUGUUGUUGUCAGCUACAGUAUUGGUACUCACCAUGCUCAGAGUCUCAACCUCUAUGUUAAAACCUUUUUCCUUGAAAUUUCCUAGGCAAUUUUGGACACAUAACAUACAUAAAAAACAAUACAAAUAUAUAAUAUUAAUAUAAAAGUAUGUCAAUAGUAAGUUUAAGGUUAAAAUAUAUCAUAAGUCCUCAUGUUUUUCAAAAAUCUAAAAUUUAAUCUUUGUAUUUUGUUAAAUUUAGAUUUAUUAUAAUGUCUUUUUUUUAGUUACAUAGCUAUCAAAUGGAUAUUUUUUUAUUUUAAAAUAUUAUACUAAUAAAUUUAAUAAAAAAAUUUAACUAUAUUAAUAAUUAAAUCUGAAUCUUAAAAUAAAAAAAGUGAUACAAUUACUGAAAUAGGGAUUAAAUUCUAAAUUAGGUAGAAAGAAUUUACCUAAUCUGAUAUGACAUUUAUCAUGAUUUGAAAGUUUUGUAUUAAAAUGCCAAUUUCCCCACACGAGAAAUGUCACAUGUAUCACAACUUGUUAGGAUCAUUAUUUAUAAUAAACAUAAAAGCAGAUGUAAAUCAUAUCCCUCAUUUGACUCUCUAGAGGCAAAAAGAGGGAAGCAUAUUAUACUCCACUUAAUACAUUGAACAUAUACUCUUCCUUUUUCAAUUGUAUAAAAUAUUCAUUUAAGAUAAUCUUUAUCAUGAAGAAAGCUAAAAAGAAACUUAAAGGAAAAAAUGAAAAAAAGGGGAAAAUGAAAGUUUAAGUUUUACAGAAGAUCCUUAUACUAUGAAUUUUUUGUAUAUCUAGUCCUAUAUAAUUUAAUAUUUCUACUCCUAUUUUACCAAACAGGUAUUUUUAGUUUGGAUGUCAACUUUUUCUUCUAAUUUUGCUAAAUAUUAUAAUAGGAUAUAGCACUUGACUGUACAUCUACAUUUUGUACAAUUAGAUAUUAUUUUUGUAUAUUUAGAAAAAGAAUAAAAUUAUAAUAAAGUGUAUAAAAAAAUGCAAAAGUGAUAAUGUAUUUAAAUAUUAAGGUAAAAUUAAUCUCAAGUUAGACCCAUGACAACCCACUACCUCUACCCCUAUAAGCAUUACAAAAAAGUGAUUGAGGGUUAAAAAUUAUCAAAGUAUAGAAAAAGGACUAAAUCCGAAAAAAUGAAAAAUGCAGAGUCCUUUAUGAAAUUUUACCAAAAUGAAAACGGAAACUUAAACGCGGAGAGUACAGCAGUAUUCGGGUCUUUGGUCAUCUUCCUCUUCACGCGGCAUCUUCCUCUUUAAUCGCCAUUUUCGCUUUCUCUCUCAUUAUAUAUCUUUAAAAACCAUUCUUCAACCUAACAAAAAAAACCACAGCAACAAAAAAGAAAACCAUACAAACAAAUCCUAAAAGACUCUCUUUACAACGUAAAGAGCAAAAACCCCAACAGCAAAACGUGUAGUAAUAAGGCAAAAACACGGUAGGGAAGGAAGGUUGUUAAUAUAUACAUAUAAAAGUUAUAACGGAAGAAAGGUCGAACGAUUCAAAAAAACCCAACGAUGGCUAUGAUGUUACGGUCGCUCGCUAGGCCGCUUGAACGUUGCCUUGGGUUAAGGGCCGGUGGGGAUGGUCUCAUGUGGCACACUGAUCUUAAACCUCAUGCUUCGGGCGAGUACUCAAUCGCCGUCGUUCAAGCCAAUAAAAACCUUGAAGAUCAAGGCCAAGUCUUUACAUCUCCUUUAGGUACCUAUGUUGGUGUUUAUGAUGGUCAUGGCGGACCCGAAGCUUCCAGAUUUGUAAACAAGCAUCUUUUCCCAUUUCUCCACAGUAAUUGUUCUUUGACCCUUUUAAUCUUUUUCUUAAUUAUUUUUCUGGGUUUUUUUUUAGAUUAUCUGAAAUGGGGUUUUCUUUGCGUCUAAUUUUUCAAGAUUCAAAUAUUCUUUUGUGUUUUAAUGGUCAAAGAGAAUUUUGGGUUUUUGUCAGUUAAUGAUAUUUUGAACAACUUACAAAGUGUCUAUCAUGCACGUUUAUUUAGUUAUUAUUUGUGUAUCUGAAUGAAUAUGAAUUACUUUGUCUAAAUAUAAAUCUUUAUGCGUUUGAAAUUGGAAUUUGGUUCUCAAGAUUCUAAAACCAUUCAGUUUAAUUUCAAUUUUUGGCACCUUUCACCUCCUUGCUUUAUUGGGUUUUGUCAGUGAAUGGUUGUGUUCUUGUUUUAAUUUUUCUGUCUUAAUUGUAGAAUUUGCUACAGAGCAAGGGGGAUUAUCUGCAGACGUGAUAAAGAAGGCGUUCAAUGCUACUGAAGAAGAGUUUUUACAUUUGGUGAAGCAAUCAUUGCCCGUAAGGCCUCAAAUUGCUUCAGUUGGAUCAUGUUGCCUUGUUGGUGCGAUAUCCAACGAUGUGUUGUAUGUGGCGAAUCUCGGCGACUCGAGAGCAGUUCUUGGCAAAAGAGUUUCGGAGGAUAAGAAAAACAAGGUUGUGGCAGAGAGGCUAUCAACAGAUCACAAUGUUGGAGUUGAGGAAGUGAGGAAAGAGGUUGAGGCUCUUCAUCCUGAUGAUUCGCAUGUCGUGGUUUACACUCGCGGAGUUUGGAGGAUUAAGGGCAUAAUCCAGGUACUUAACAAAAUCUAUUGGCAAACCCAAUUAUAAGAGUUUUAAGUUGAAUCAGACAGGUUGAAGAACAGUUCAUGUUUUGGUUCAAUGAAUUCGAUGGAUAUACAUGUUUCUUUCCAUCAAUUGCUUGUAUGUUUGUAGAAAAGGUAUAUUUACAAAACAAAUAAACAUUGUGCAUCCUCUGAAUCAUAAUGCUAAGCUUAUGUGACUAUAUGGAGUCUUCUCUCUUUUCUUUUUCGGGUUUUUUGGGUUCCUUUUGUUGAUUUCUUUCCCCUUUAACUUCAGCAGUUAAAUGGUUCUCUGUAAUGGAUAAUGUUGGUCUAAGCAUUGAACUUGUUUCUUUAUUCAGGUGUCAAGAUCUAUCGGUGAUGUUUACUUGAAGAAACCCGAUUUUUAUAGAGAUCCAAUCUUUCAACGAUUCGGAAACCCUGUUCCCCUUAAAAGACCAGUUAUCACGGCAGAACCCUCCAUCCUUAUUAGAAAGCUUAAGCCCCAAGACUUAUUUCUGAUAUUUGCAUCAGAUGGCCUAUGGGAACAGUUGAGCGAUGAAACCGCGGUAGACAUUGUUUUCAGAAACCCCCGAGCUGUGAGUAUUUACCUUUGUCUUAUUGGUUAAUUUAGUCUUCAUUAGCAGCUGGACCGAAUGACAGAGUAUUGAUUUUAAGUUUGCUUGUAUUACUUGCAGGGUAUUGCUAAGAGACUGGUAAGUGCCGCACUUAGAGAAGUUGCAAAGAAAAGAGAGAUGAGAUACGGCGAUAUUAAGAAAAUCGAGAAGGGAAUAAGACGGCAUUUCCAUGACGAUAUAACCGUGAUCGUCAUUUACCUAGAUCAACACCGAGGCUCUUCACAUAACAUAGUUAAACAUAAUGCCAUGGGGUGCACGACGGCGCCAGUCGACAUCUAUUCAUACAAUGCAGAUGAAGGAUAUGAAGGAGAUUUACUUCAAACAGUUUCUUGAAUACACAACAGAAUGAGUUAAUAUUAGGUUUAGCACACUGACUUUUUAUUCUUUUUCAAGUCUUAUUCAUGUAUAGAGAAACCAAAUGAUGGGGUGGGAUUGGUUCUUAAACCAAUGUUUCAUUGGGAGAAAAAUCGAGAGUUUGGAAGGUAAUUUUAGUCACCUCAGACGGAUUCCGACACAGGCGGCUAUAGGUGUUCCGGUUGAAGUUCUAACGGUUACCGAAAAGGCUACAUUGUUUUAUUGGUUUAUUAAAUUCAUUGCUUAUAUUAUAUUUAAUUCGAAGUGAGUAACUAAAGACAAUUAAUUACGUUAUUAAUUUUUCUUGUCAAUUAUACAUAAUUUUGAUUGGUGUAAUAACAAAUUUAACCCUUAAUAUUUAUAUAUUUUGUGCAAAUGUUGACAGAAUAUGUAAAUGUUGUAGGUUAAUUUCGUUAAAUCGUGAUUAAAUUGACAGAACAUGUAAGUGUUAUGGGUUAAAUUUGUUAAAUCAAUGUUAAAUUGACAAGAAGUAUAAACUUUAAGGGCGAAUUUUGUUACUAUACCGAUAGAAAAAGUAUAAUUGAUGAAAAAAUAUUGAUGUUAUGAUUAAUGGUCAUUAGUUGCUCACUUUUAAAAUCGACAAGAUUAAAUUGUUAUAGUUUUUUUGAGAGGGACCAAUUUGUUCAAAAUGAAAAUUGAGAAGAAUCAAAAUGUCAUUGUACCUGGUUCUUAUACAUACCAUAUCUAAGUUGUGAAUUUAGUUUUUGUACAUUAAUUUACUCAAUUUCAGUCUCUUUACUUUUUAAAUUUAAAAUUUUAGUUAUGAUUUAGAUUGUAAAUUAAAUUCGUUUCAUUCUAUUAUGUUAUUAGUCUUAUACUAUUAUUACAGUUGUGAAUUUAAUUCAUGUUUUUUAAUUUUAUCAUUUUUAGUCGUUAUACUUUUCAAAUUUUAAUGCAAACGAAAAUAGUUAAAUCCAUUAAACGUAGGUUUUCUAUGUGUGCAAUAUAUGAAAAUAGCAAAUUGCAACUAUUAUUUGAUCGAGACUAAAAUUGAAUAAUACAAAAAAUACAAAAAUUAAAAUUAAAUAAAUUAAAAGAUAGAUAUUAAACUCACAAUUUAUUCAUAUACAUAAACUAAUAACAUAAUUCUUAAUACUCUUAAAUUAAAAACAACACUUAAUAAACUACGAGAGUUAGGUGAGAUGACAAAUAUCUCUCCUAUAUUAACCAGUGGUUGAAAGUUUGAUCCUCGCAUUGGGUAUAGAAUAACUUUAAAAACUCGUAGUCGGCAUCUAUUAUUUUAAUAGACCUAAAAAUGCGGAGAAUUAAUUACUGAACUCGCUCUAAGCAUGACAUAACACGACAAAGUUGGCUUGUAAUUUGUAUAUCUAAACCAAAAGGGAAAAAAUGUUUUGCGAGACAAAUUCCUUAAACUGAAAGACAUGGGAAUUUUGGCAACUAGAUAGCAAUAACCAAACUUGUUAGGUGAAACGAACCAAACUAAAGCACAAAACGACAAUCAGUUGCGCUAAAGUUAGGAUGUCUUGUCACUUUUAAAUUUUUAUUAUACAACUUGCUUCACUAAACAAAUACUAUUUAAUGAACUUUUUAAUAUUCUUACUCUACUUUUCAAUAAUUCAUAAAGCUAAUAAAUAUAUUAUAUUCUUUCAAAUUACUUUUCUUUAAAUUAUUUUUUCUUUAUUUUAAUUGAAAAUUUUUAUUGUAUUAAUUGCAUAAAAAUACUCAAAAUUUUAAUUUAUUCUUUAAUUUCGAAAUAUGUUUAAACGUUAAAACGUUAAUUUUGAUAUGAUGUAAAGUACAUUUAAAAUGCCCGAAUUAAAUUGUAAAUUUAUGUAUACUUACAUCAUUAAUAACUUGGAUCUUACGUAUUAAAAAAAUAGUGUUAAUAAAUUUUAGGAGGGUUAACACUUUUAACUGUUAGAACGAUUUUUUUAAGUAGAAAUCAUGUUGGUACUCUAACUAGAAUGGUUAUACUUUAGUUACUUGGGUUAACUGUUAAUAUUAUAAAAAGUAGAAGAUUAAAUUACAUUAAAUAAAAUUAUGGAGAUUAAAUUUUAAAUUUGAGCACAAUAAAGGGACCAAAACUAUAAUUUAACUCUUUUUAAAUUCAAUAUUUUGUUGAAGGAUUAAAUUGGGGUUGAACUUGAAACCUACUUCUAUAUUGGGGCUUGAACUUUUUUUUUGUCUAAGUUGCUCCCUAAACUUAGCAAUUUUUCUCAUAUUGAAGUUUGAACUAGGCCAUUGUUCUAAGGGGCGAAGCCAAAAUUUUUUUUUUUGGGAGUUGGAAUUAAAUUGUAUAUUUUUAUGGUAGUAAGAAUGUAAUUUUACCAUUUUAAUAGCCUAUGUCAUUAUAAUUUUAAAGGAUUAAAUCAAUUUUGUAUUAUUUAAGAGGUUAAAGUUCAAAUUUAUCAUUACUAAUUUAAAAUUUUAUAAAUUAUAAAAAGUUUAAAUAGAAAAUUUUUCAUUUUAGGGGGAACUGGGGGCCUUGCCAACCUCUCUGGCUUUGCCAUUGAUUGUUUCCAUAUUGGAGCUAAACUUGACAAUUGUUCCUACAUUGAUGCCUAAGUUUUAGGGUUUUCAAAGAAACAUCAUGGAUUAAUUUGGAUCAAAAAAGGUUCAAGCCCCAAUAUAAAAACAAUUACCACAAAAAAAUUCAGGUCUCAAUAUGAAAAUAAUUACCAAUUUCAGGCCCAAAAAGGUGAUUUAACCCUUUGCCCAACCCCAUUCAAGUUACCAAACGAGAGGAAAAUAACAAAUUCCUAGAAAAUCUACAAUUUUGUGCGCUAAAAAAGAAAAUACAAAUAGUCGUUUCAGUAUAAUUUUCUCGGAAAAUAACCAAAACCCAGUCCUUUAAGCUUCAACAUCCAAAGAAAAAAGAAUGACUGCAAGUCAUUUGGUUGCUGAAUCCGUGUGGAAAACAAUAGAGUCAACUCAUUCAGGUCUUUCUUUUUUUCCCCCCUUAUUUAUUCUUUCUAUGUAGAAACUAAAUUCCAUCUUCUUCUUUUUUCCUUUUUUAAAUCCCUAAAUUUUGUGAUCUUAUGACCCAAAUUGGCCAGUAAAUGAAGAGCAACUAUCAAUGUAAGCAAUACUCAUUUUCUUUUAAAUCUUUUAUUCUUGGGCUUUUUAAAAUAAAAAUAAAAAUAAAAAUGGUGGGUAUUGAUUAAUUUUGAAUUUUCUUUUAUUGUAGCUUGCAUUUUCUGUUUGGUAAAAACUUCGAGAGAGCAACAAGGAUAGUUGACCAAAGGGGUGUCAAGAAAAUCUCCGGUGAACCCAGCGGUCGUUUUAUCUUUCAGGUUCAUUCUCUUUGUUGCUAUCUCAAUUUUUGAAUAUUGGUCGAAUUCUCCUAUUAGUCCAUGCACUCUGCAUAAAUUGCAGAUUUAAUCCAUGUUCCUCGAUUUAAUGUUUUUAAUGAUUUGUUUUUCAAAUUGUAAUUUUAGUAUCAUGUUAUAUCUAUUUAAUUUAAUUAUUUUAUUUCAGUUAAUAAAUUUCACUGCUAUUGGAUAUAAGAAUAAAAAUGAUAAAAUUUUAGAACAAAUAUUAAAUCUAUAAGGUUAGGACAGAAAAAUCCAAAUAUUAUAAAAUUAAAAUUGACCAAAUUAAAAUAUGUAGACUAAAUCUGUAAUUUAGACUUAGUAUAUAUACUAAGGGAAGAAUUUGUCAUAGAAUAUUUGGACGAGUUGUCGGCUACCUUAUGUGUAAAAUAUGGUCAUUUUGGCAAAUAUUCCAUUUUAAGAACUUUCCUGGAAACUUUUCUGAAACUGUGAGCCUUGAGAUAAAACCCGAAGCAGAAUUGAGACACAUCAGUAUAUAUCCAUUUGUAUAUCUCAAUAUAUAUAUAUAACAUACGCCUGUCUAGUUAGAAUAUUUGGACAAGUUGUCGGCCACCUUAUCUGUAAAAUGUGAUCAUUUUGGCAAAUAUUCCAUAUUUAAGAACUUUCCUGGAAAAUUUCUGAAACUAUGACCCAUCAAGGCUCUUGGCAGAAUCGUGAGAUAAAACCUGAAGCAGAAUUGAGACACAUCAAUAUAUAUAUCCAUUUGUAUAUCUCAAUAUAUAUAUACAGACGCAUGUGUAGUUAGAAUAUUUGGACAAGUUGUCCUCUACCUUUUCUGUAAAAUGUGAUCAUUUUAGCAAAUAUUCCAUCUUAAGAACUUUCCUGGAAAUUUUUCUUAACUAUGACCCAUCAAGGCUCUUAGCAGAAUGGUGAGAUAAAACCCGAAGCAGAAUUGCGACACUUCAAUAUGUAUCCAAUUGUAUAUCUCAAUAUAUAUAUAUACAUAGGCAUGUCUAGUUAGACUAUUUGGACAAGUUGUCAUCUACCUUAUCUGUAAAAUGUGAUUAUUUUAGCAAAUAUUCCAUCUUAAGAACUUUCCUGGAAAAUUUUCUGAAACUAUGACCCAUCAAGACUCUUAGCAGAGUCGUGAGAUAGAACCCGAAGCAGAGUUGAGACACAUCAAUAUAUAUAUCCAUUUGUUAUAUAUAUACAUACGCAUGUCUAGUUAGAAUAUUUGGUCAAGUUGUCAUCUACCUUAUCUGUAAAAUGUGAUCAUUUUAGCAAAUAUUCCAUCUUAAGAACUUUGCUGGAAAAUUUUCUGAAACUAUGACCCAUCAAGGCUCUUAGCAGAGUCGUGAGAUAAAACCCAAAGCAGAAUUGAGCCACAUCAAUAUAUAUAUAUCCAUUUGUAUAUCUCAAUAUAUAUAUACAUACGCGUGUCUAGUUAGAAUUUUGGACAAGUUGUCAUCAACCUUAUCUGUAAAAUGUGAUCAUUUUAGCAAAUAUUCCAUCUUAAGAACUUUCCUGGAAAUUUUUCUGAAACUUUUUUUUCCCAUUGUUUGGUGCUUUAGGUUGUGGGAGAAUCUAGAAGAAAAGAAGAAUAUUUCUGUUUUGCUGAACAUUAUUGUGCUUGUUAUUCAUUCUUUUAUGAUGUAAUUAACAGAGCAGAACAGCUUUGUGUAAGAUUUCUUUAUUCCUUUAUUCCCCUUAUUUUAUUGCAUUUAAUAUAUAGGUAAAAUUUUUGAAAUUGAGCAAAUUGGUCCCUCUAAAAAAUUAUAGCAAUUUAUCUUUGUCAAUUCCAAAAGUGAGCAACUAAAAAUAAUUAAUCAAGACGUUGAUAUCAUUUGUCAAUUGUACAUAGUUUUGAUUGGUAUAAUAACAAAUUUAGCCUUGUUAUUUACAUGUUUAUACAAAUAUUGAGUUGCAUUUAUUAAAUCAGGACAAAAUUGAAAGAAUAUGUAACUUUGAGAGCUAAAUUAUUUAUUAUACCAAUCAAAUUUAUGUACAAUUGAUGAUCAAAAUAUUAAUGUUGUGAUUAAUUAUUCUUAGUUGCUCACUUUUGAAUUAAAACGGAUUAAAUUACUUCAAAUUUUUUAGAGGAUUCAAUAUGCUCAAUUUACUUAAAUUUUUUUAGAGGAUUCAAUAUGUUCAAUUUUAAAAUUAAAAGGGAUUAAAUUACUUUAAUUUUUUUAGAAGAUUCAAUAUGCUCAAUUUCAAAAUUGAGAGGGACUCACCUAUAUAUAUUUGCUGUAUUUUCAUAUUUUGUUUUGCUUUUGUGUAGUGUAAGCAUCAAUUAGCUGCAAGGCUUGCUGGAUCAUUGGGAGCUUGUAUUGAAGUUAAAGUGUCUGAUGAACAGCUAGCUGUAUUACUUUCUGAGCUCUAAAUUUUUGUAGUAAAAUCGUAGCGGGUCGGAUCCGAAAUUUAAUCUAGUUGGUUCAUGCAGUUACAUUUAAAGAAAUGACAUUCAAUAAAUAUGAUUCAAUUUUUGAUAAAUAAAAAUAUUGUUUGUAUGUUUAACAACAAAAAGAAUGAACAAAUUAUAAUCAUCAAAUCAAGGAACAAUAUUGUGAGUUUUCAUCUUUUUAAUCCAUGAAUUGAACGACGUUUUCGAGUUUCGGAACCCGACAAAUCCAUGUUCUUUGCUCUUGUUCAUGCUAUCCAACAGUGACUUCCCCGAAAGCACCGAAUCAACGAACUGCCAUGCUCCGGCAUUGCUCAAUUUCAUCGGCAAAAGACCGUUCUCCCUCACGAUGUUGUCCCACACCGGACCUUUGUCUUUCAUCAUUUCAACCAAGCUUGGCACCUUCUCUUCGGUUUCUUGAAAUCCGUAGUGUUCGAUACCGAACUGGUCAGCUAACACUUUCCAUAAGUCCUUCCACUUAAACACAUCUCCAUUGCUACAAUUAAAGGCUUCGUUUUUCGCUCGCCGGCUCAUUGCUGCCCAUAUUUGAUGUUCUGCAAUCAAAUCCGCAUCCGAUGCAUCCCAGUACCCUUCCCACGCUUGUCGGUUCCCCGGAAACCUCAACGGCUCGCUUUCAUGCUUACAUAUCGACGCGUAAAUGCAUAAACUCCGAACUAUAUUCAUCGAACUAAACGGAGAAAACCCAAAAACCAAUCCCGGCCUAUGAACAGACCAUGUCAAGUUCUCCUUCUGCUUCACUUCUUCCAACAAAACAUCCUCGAGCGUAUAACACAAGUUUGACGACUUAAGCCUCGGAAGAUCCUCGCGAAAAGGAGGAUCAUGGGGCUGAACAUGAUAUUUUCCGUACAAAUCAAUCGGACCGGUGUAAUGCCGACGACCGGUUUGCAAGCAUAUAUGUUUCAACUUGGGUGAAUUCGGGAUUACCGCUUUCAACACGUUCCGUAACAUAGUACCAUUGAUAACGCAGUUUUCAUCUUCAGUUGAUCUCUUAUCCCAUGCAACAUAAAACACAUGAGUCACAUCGUUAAGCUUUGAUAAUUUAUCACAUGUUUCUUCUUCAUCUAAAACAUCGCAUUGUAUGUACUCAAUAGGCAAAUGACUAGUCGAGGCUGGUCGAGGCUGACGAGCAACACCGUAGACCUUCCACGGUCCGCCGGGAAUACCGGAGAACGGAAGAAUCUCGGCGAGACUGUUACCGACUAUGCCGGUGAUGCCAAUGACCAAAGCAACACUCUUGUACUUGGAUUGUUUAUCAUGUUCUUCCAUUUUCUUCUGUAAAAAAAAAAAAAAUCUGGGUUCAUUAGAUUAAAUGCAGAGAAAGAGAACCCAAAAAAAUGAAUGAGCAUUAACGUACCUUGGCAGCACCAAUGGCUCCUGCCCACCACCAACUCAUUGUAUGUUUUUCUUUUGCUGUUAAUGAAAAAAAAUGCUGAAUUACAUCCUUAAACUUUGUCUGCAAUGUUUUUAUAGUGAUCCGCUUUGAUAAAAGUGACGUCUGGGAAUUUAAAAAAGGAAAAAAAAACCAAUCUUAUCUAUUUACAUGUAUCAACUACAGCUCAACAAGAACUUGUUAUCAAUUUGAUUUCUUUAUAAUAAUAAUAAUAAUAAUAAUUUUAGUUGGGAUAAAUUACAAGAAUAGUCACUCUUGUUUGUCUUAGAUUAUAUUUUAGUCAAUUAUGUUAUCGUUUUGUUACGAAGUGGUCACUCUACCGCUAAACUCCGUUACCUCCCUAGCGGUAGUUCUACGUGACAGUUAAAAUUAAAUUUAUUUAAUUAAAAACAUAUUUUCAUCCCAGUAGCUGGACAUCCAAGUUGGCAUUUAAAACAUGUUUGGAUUGCUACGUAGGACAAUCGUUAGGGAGGUAACGGAGCUUAACGGUAGAGCGACCAUUUCAUAACAAAAUGAUAACAUAUGUGACUAAAAUAUAACAUUUUAAACAUAAAUGAUUAAAAUGUAAUAUGAUUCAAACAAAAGUAACUAUUUUUAUAGUUUACCAUUUUAUUUUUAAUUUGUUUGAAUAAACAUGGAUACAACACAUAUAUUUUAUAUAAAAUAAUUUAAGUGGCGGAAUUUUUUAAAAGAAAAUCAGAAAGGACGUGGAAAAUGGGUUAAUUGGUGAAUAUGUGUAAAUCCUUCAAUAAUUGAAUUGGUCAGCCAACACUUAAAGACUAAGGAUUAGACAGCUAGUAAACACAUCAGCAUAUAAUCAAGCUUGCGUGGAGAACCUAGCGUGUAAGGAAACAAUACAUCCUUAUCUAUUCACUAAAUCUUCUAAUGCUAUGAAAAAAAAGGAUAGAAUUUUGUGAAUUUUAUAAUUGGAAAGUUUAAGGAUAGGAAAUUAAUAUGAAAUUUGGCUUUUUUGUUUUUUUAAUUUGUAUUCCAAGUUAGUUUUUUACUAUUUAAGUCAAACAUUUCUAUUGGGUAUUGUUAAAUUAACAUGAGUAUUAUUGUUAAUAUAGAGGAAUGUGUGUUUGAGUGCGUUGAAGUGUUAGGUCUGUUCUUGACGUUUUUGGGCCUUAACAAAACAAUAAAAUGGGUUUCAAGUUCCUUAAAAGUUGAAGAAAAAAAAUUUGGUCCCUAAAAGUUGGUAAAAAAAAUUUGGCCUUUAAAAGUUAAAAAUAAGAAUUUUGGGCCCCUUAACAAUUGGAGAAUAAUAUUUUAGACCCCUUUCAGCCUUGGGCUCUGGGAAGCCGCACCUCUAGACGACCUCUAGAGCCAGGCCUGUGAAGCGCAUUAUCCUCUUAUUUAUGGGUUGGAGUAUAAUCAGAACCUAUAAUGAGAUUGUUAAAAAAAAUUUUAAAACAAAAAAGUUUUAAGAUGGAUUGUGAAUUUAAGGUUUUUUUUUAAUGGUUACAAGUUGCUUGGAAACAAAAUAUUAGUAAAUCAGAAUAGAAAAAUAAAUAAAUAAAUAAAUUGAAAACAAUUAGUCUCUCGAUAUGAUAAAUUAAUUUUGUUUAACAUUCGUUGUAACGACGGUUAGAAAGAAAACAAGCAGCGAAAAAAAUAAAAGAAGAAAAGAAUUGACACAACCGAUCUUUGUUAAUACAGUUUAGACACAGUGGUCCUAUAUUUGCGGAGCCUCUCCCAGUGAAUGAUUUUAUUCAACAAUCGUUCGGAUCACCUAUUGGCUUAAGCCCGAUUACCUUUACACAAAGAAAUAAUUCAAGCUUCAAUAUUGACCCCAAUUGUCACAAAUCACUCACCCAAAUACCUCACAAUAUGAUAGACUUUAAACUCCUAUUUAAAAGUUGAAAUUAUCCCAUUAAUUAUCUUUAGUACCCCAGGGUGAAUCAAACUCAGUAUAAACGAAACCUAUUUAAGGCCCAAGUCAAUAACUUAAGUAGAGAAACAGUUUCGUUAUAAUUGGACAUAAAACAAACAGCAAUUUUCCCAACAAAAACAUAAUGGGGAGAGCGAGACUUAUUCCUAAGUUGGCAAAUGCAAUUGCUCAGCUGUUUGUUUCAUGCAAAACUUAGUUGGCAAUUAACAAAUUCAAAUAGGCUCAACAUCUUUAACCUAUGGAUAGAAUUUCUAAUGCCAAUUUGAAUUCCUUCCUUCCAAGAAAUCCUUCAACAUUUUUAUCUCUUUGUGCAAGCAUUAUUGUAACAAGUCCAUCUUCUUAACUUUCACUAGAGAAUCUGUGGUGAUAUGGAGUUUACAGUAAACCCUAUUCGAAUGGGGAGUAACAAUCCUCUUUUGUCCGAUGAUUCUUUUGUUUUGGGUAAGAAUUCCAAAAUUCAUUUUACAAAGAGUAAACGAAAGUUGUGUUAUUGUUUAUGGGAAUACAUGAAAGUAAUCUAGAGUCGAGCAUUUUAUACCAUUUGUCUUAUAGAAUUUUGGGUUAACUUCGUUUGGUCGGUAAAUUUGACGAUAUAUGUCAUGUUAAUCUUUCUAAAAAAGUAAAUGGUGAAUUACAUUAAUGGUUAUCUAAUUAUGAUUUUUUUUUAUCACCCAACCAUAAAAAAUUACAAAAUAGUUAGUCAAUUAUUAGUAUUUUUUUUAUCAUCCAAUUAUAAAAAAGUGACAAAAUAAUCUUCAUUUUCAUGUUAACCGACUAAUAACUAAAAAAUUAAUUGAAUAAUUAGAUGAUCAUUUUGUAAAAUUUUCAUAGUUAGGUGAUAAAUGAAACUAUAAUCUGAGUGUCCUCUAUUAUAGUUUUGAGUAUAUAAAUAAUAAAAUUGCACAUCCUAUUUGAUAUUUUUGAGCAAAAGAAAAGAAAAGAAUAAUGAACUUGGAUACAUGGUAUUAGAGCGACUUAUGAUUGCAAUUGCACAUCCUAUAUGAUAUUUUUUUAGCAAAAAAAAAAAAGAGAAAAGAAUAAUAACCUUAAAUACAUGGUAUUAGAGCGACCUAUGAUUGCAAUUCCACAUUGACUUCCCAUAGGAUGGAUCAAUAGGUACUCCAAGUCAAACUCCUAAAGUGUGCAGUAGGAGAAAAUAACAACAAAACCCAUGACAAACGCAACACGAGUUUAGAUGGAGAAGAAUAUUAAGCGAAACACUAAAAAAAUUAGAUAACAUUAUUAAUCCCAUAUCAAAAAACAAAUAAGAAAACAAGUAGACUUGUACGCUCUAGGAAAGCAUAUGACUAAUAUCACUAGGGGGGUUUAGCUAGGUACAGCUGAUGGUCCCAAGUUGAAAGGGACUCUUGAGUAUCGCUGAUGUUUUGACCUUAGUCCUAUAUAAUAGGGGCAAAACACUAUCUAUCCGGCGCGUCCACACCCAAUGAGAUAGAUUUUUGGUCACCUAGACUGAAUGGUCUAUGGACGCCUCUAAUCCAGCUGACUUAUCCUAUUUUAUACACAAAAAUGUUGAAAUCUCUAAAUAAUGAAGAGUAAACUAAAAUCAAAUAGCUUCCAUUAACAAGACAUGGGGUUAGAGCUUAGGGUUUAGAAUUAAUAAAGAAUCAUGAUUGCAAGCCAAACCUGGAUCAUUCAUAUACAUUAGAUGACAAUGAUAUCUCUAUAAGUUUUAGCAUUAAAACUAGGUUUGAGGAAACAUCAAAACAGAAAAUCCAAUUUGCAGACAUAAAAUACUUCAUUAAUUACAUUAACAAAAAGCUUAUCAAACAUUCCUUUGGAAAACAAUUUUGCAAAGACACUGUUAACUGCACAUAAUGAUUUAUAUUUGACUUGUAUAAAAGCAAUUGUACAUACCUUUUCAAGAUUUUCAAUUCCCCUCUUUCUUGUUUCAUCUGCUAUAUAAUACAAAAUUCCCCAUCAGCUACAUGCAUAGCUAAAUAGAGCUUUAGGCAUUCAAAAAGCUAAAGAACACAUGUUGGCCUCGAGGAAACACACAGAACCGUGCACAACGUCACAUUUCCACUUUCUCAGCAUGCUCGAAUUGAUGAACACAACGAACAGUGCUAACACAAUACUAAAAAGGUUUUCUUUAUGGAAGACAACUUUCUAUGACCAUUUUUCCACGACACGCUCUGAUAAUCUAAUUUCCUCAUCCUUGGAAAUAUGUGGAUCUAGCUUCUGAAGGUUGUCAAUAAAUGUCUUUGCCUCAUCACGCUGAUUGAGUUUACAAUAUCCAUCAACUAUGGAAUUGUAUGUAUUCUGGUUUGGUUUACAGCCGUGCUUGAUCAUGAAUUGGACAACAUCUAUGGCUUCCUCAAACAAGGAAUCAGCUGCAUAGCUUGCAACAAAGGUAUUGUAAGUGAUAACAUCUGGAACAAGGCCAGAAUCACCCAUUUCUGAAAAUAUCCGAGAAGCCUCUUUCAUUCGACCGUUUCUACAAUAGGCAUAAAUAACAGUGUUAUACGAGAUUAUAUCUGGUUUUAUUCCUUUUGCCUGAACUUCCCUUAAAAUUUGUUCUGAUUCCUCGAACUUUUCAGAGCGGCUAUACAUAUACAUCAAACUGUUGUAGGUCGUCAAGCUCGGAGUAUACCCACACUCAUUCAUGAAGUUCAAGAUCUCAUUUGUCUUGGAAACCAUCUGCCUCCUGCCAUAUAUUGAGAGCAUGGCAUUUAGAGUAGUUAUGUCAGGUGGAAAUCCUUUCUUCCUCAAUUCCAAGAAAGCACGCUCUGUAUCCGCAAGAAGGUCGCAUUUACUAUUAACCAAAACAAGAGUCUUUAACAGCACAGCAUGAGGUUCGAUGAUACCGGAGUAUAUCUCUUCCGCUAGGGCAUGCAUCCGAUCUACCUGCUUCCCAUUGGCAUAAACAUGAAGCAAAGAACAGUAGGUUAGCUCAUUGGGUUUGCAACGACCGUCUCUCAUUUCAGCCAGUAUUUUCUCAGACUGCUUCCAAAGCCCUCCCCGUGCCAAUGCCGCCAAAACAGCAUUAUAUGUAGAAAGGUCGGGGGUAACUCCAGCUUCCAGCAUUCUCUUAUAAAUAGCCAUGGCUUGAUCAAAAGCACCACAGCGACUGUAUGCACUAAUUAAAGUGUUGAAUGUGUCCCUUUCAGGUACAAACCCUGCCCUCUUCAUCUCCUUGAACACUCCAGACACUUCUACAUCCAUUCCAUUUUGCCCAAAUACUGCCAGUAGUGUAUUCCAAGUAACAAUAUCCGGUGCACCAUUGCAUGCCUUGAUCUCGUCAAAAAUCUUCAUCAUCUCAGUGAACUUCCCGCGGUUACCGUGCAUCUUAAUUAGAGCAUUGAAAGUGCAAAUAUUCGGCUUGCAACCAGAAGUUCUCAUCUCCUCAAAAACCGCCAUUGCAGACUCAUCUUUUCCGGCCUUGGCAAAUCCCGACAAAAGAGUGGUAUAGGUAAAAACAUCAGGCUUAAUCCCUUUUCCCUCCAUCUGUGUUUUCAAGUCCAUUGCUUCCUGCAACAGACCAUCCCUAGCAUAAGCGGAAAUCAACGAAUUAUAAGUCACAGUGCUAGGGGCAAACCCAUUAAGCUCCAUCUCUUUUAAAACCUCCAUAGCUUCCUUCGGACGCCGAGACUUACCAUAAACAUCCAACAAUGCAUUGUAAGUAACAUUAUCUGGAGUAAAACCAGCCAAUUUCAUUUCAUCGAAAACCGAAGCCGCUUCCUCAUGCAAAGACCCUCGACGACAGCUACUUAUAAGCGUAUUAUAAGUAUAAGCAUCAGGGGCAAUUCCAUCACUUUUCAUUCCAUCAAAAAGAGCCAUGACCUUACUCCAAGGCAUGCCCAUUUUACCAUACACAUUCAAAACCACAUUAUAAGUUAUCAAAGUAGGUUUACAACCCUCUUCCUCCAUUUUCUUAAAAACCACCAUGGCUUCCCUAUACCUCCCACUACCAGCAUAAGCAGUUAUCAAUGAAGUAUAAGCAUAAACAUCAAGACUAAACCCUUCUUUGUGCAAACCAUUAAACAAAUUAGCUGCAACAGAAACCCUCCCCUCUUUCCCUAACAUACUAAUAAUAAUAGCAACAACAGAGCUAUUCAACACCAAUCCACAAUCAUUUCUAGCUCUAACCCAAUUGAAAACACCCAAAGCCAAGUUAGAUUUCUUGUAAAAACCCAAAGCUUUAACAAUUCCCACCACUUCCGCAGCCAAAAAAUCAGCUUUCACAUCUGGGUUUUCUUGGUAUUGCUCAAACAACUUACUCAAAACAACAUCAAGUUGAUUAGAAUCAAAAGAAGGUUCAAUUAAGGAAUUAAGAACCUGCUGACCUUGAGCAGAGAGGUUGUUAUGAGUCCAACGCUUCCCACGGUUGACGUCACGUGACCGGCCGAGACGGUUCCGGGUCCGGACUUGUGGGUCGAUGGGUUGUUGGGACUUAGAAUUAUGUCGAAGAAGGAGGUCUUGAAAGACUGGAGUCGAGGGAGCAGGUGAAUUGGGUUGUGAAGUUGGGUUUUGUUGAGUGAAGUGAGUUUGGUUUGAUAAUGGGGUUUUAACAGGUGGGGGAUUUGGAAGGAGAAGAGGGAGAGCAAGCCUCUCUGCCAUUAAAGAGAGGAUAAGAAAGUUGCAGCCUUUGUAUCUAUGGUUGAGUUAGAAACAGAGAGGGAGAAAAAGAAAAGGGUAAUUGAUAAUUUUAGUGCGCUUUCGUUAUUACUUGCAGAGUCCACAACUUUUUUUUUUAGAAGUCUAAGGCUUAAAGGGGGACAUGACAAAGAUAUGCGGAGGAUAUUUUAGGAGGUAAAAGGGAGAUUAUAUUCUUCUGUGGUUAAGAAUGAACUAUUGAAAUACUAUGACCAAUAAAAGGUUGCCACGUAAACUCUGAAAGCGGACUCUUAAGUCAAAAUUGGUGACGUUUGCCCUCUUCAAAAUUAGUUCGAUUAGACAAAUUAUACUUAUUUAAACAUUUUCUCUUUUAUUUUUAUAUAAAAAUUAAUUUAAAGUGAAGCUUAAUAUUAUUAUAUUAAUAAUAUUUUUUAUUUUAAAAAAUAUUUAAAAUUAAUAAAAUAUUUAUAAUUUUCAAUAUUAUUAAUCAUACUUAUUUAAUUAUCUAUUUCUAAUCAUAUUAAUAACUUAUUAUUUUAAUAAUUUAUUUAAUAAUUUAAUUUUAUUUUAAAAAUAAAUUUGAAAAAUAAUAAUUUUAAAUAAUAUUCUUCAUAUAGUAUUGAAAAAUAUUCAAUGUUAAUAUUUUAAUAAUAAAUAUUUAUUACAAUUAUAAAUAUAUUACAGAUAAAUAUUUUGUAGUAUAAAUGUUAAAAUAUGUCAUAAAUAUAUAUACUCCUCACAAAUUUGAAAUUUAGUCCCUAUUCUUUUAUUUUCAAGAAUUUAAUCAUUCUACUGUUCAUAUUUAAAAAUCAAGUCCAAUUGUUAACAUUGUUAAAUUUUUUUUGUCAAUUUUGUUGAUGUCAAUUUUUAAAUAAAAAAUACUUGAUAUUCAUGUAACUAAAAGAUGACGUUACAAUUAACAUGAAUUUAACAAAAUAUUUUUAAUAAUGCUAUCAGAUGAACCUUAAUUUUGAUAUAUAAAAGGUAGGACUAACCCAAAAAUAAAAGCACAUGGACUAAAUUUCAAAUUUACGAAAAGUACAAUGACUUAUGACAUAUUUUAACCUAGUAUAAAAAUAUGAAUAUUUUAAUUAUAUAAAUUUGAAUAUUUGUUUAAGUAAUGUUUAGCUUCAUUUAUCCUUUACAACUCUAAUGUGUCAAUAUCUAUUCUCACAUAUCUAAUAUAUAUAAUUAAAAUUAAGUUUUAAUUAAGCAUUAUUUAUUAUUAAGUUUAUAUAUGACACUGAUUAUUACAAAAUAUUUUCUUAUUAUAAAAUAAAUUUCAAUUGUUAAAAGGAAAUUGCACUGUAAUAUUUUAUAACAAAUAUAUUUAUGUCAUGUUUGUUUUACAAAGAACAAUGUAAAAUAUAAAUUUAUAGAUAUAAAAUAAACUCAAUUAAACAAUGAAAAUAUAAGAAAAUCUCAUAUGUAUGUUUGUUUCAUUGAAAACAACUUUUAUGAAAUAUUUAUAGUAAAUCUGUCAAAUAACAGAAAAUAUUAAUUUUUCAAAAAAGUAAGUCAUUUUCCAGAAAUCAUUUUUCGGAAGUCAUUUUCAGUGAAACAAAUGGAACCUAAACUUGAAAAUCGUAAGUUAACUUGAUAUUUUUUUAGGCACCUAAUACUAUUAAAAUAUACUGACAUAACACUGACGAUCAAUUGGAUGGUGACACGUGAUAACCUCACAUUUUUUAUUAUAAAUAUUAUAUUUUUUUAUUUUGCCACGUGUCAAAAUAUAAGGCUAUCACGUGUCACCAUUCUAUUAGUAGUCAACGUCACAUCAGCGUAUUUUAAUGAUGUUAGUCAAGUAGCUAAAAAAACACAAAGUUGACUUAUAAUUUUUAAGUUUAGGUACCAGUCAGGGCCAAAAUUAAACUAUGUAAUUGAUAUUUAUGUCAUUAUUGUUGUUUAUUUGUGUAACUAAGAAUUGAUGACUUUAUUGUUUCAACCACUAAUUCGGUUUCCAAAAAACAUUGAUUCAAAGGAAACUAACCUAAACCGAACUAUAUAAUUGAUGUUUAUGCCAUUAUUAUAUAUGUGUUUAUAAUAACUAGAAUCGAUAACUUAACCGUUUCAACCACCUCUUCCAACUUCUAAAAAAAACAUUGGUAAAUGGAAGUUAGAUUAUUUUCAAAUCUUCAAGCUUUAUAAGUUAUUGAAUCGAGUGAUAAAAUACUUAUUAAUUCAUAAAAAGUUGAUGAAUCGUUUGAAAAGAAAGAAAAAGAAAAAGAAAAACCAAUGCUAAAAAAUGCUUGUUUCUUAUUUAGAAGUCCAAUUCAACUCAAGUUGUGUUUAGUAUUACUUUUAAGAAGUAUUUUUGAGAAAAAAAUACUUUUGAGAUAAAAACAUUAUUAAAUAAAAUGCUAAAUUGACCCGCAAUCGAUACCUGUGGGNNNNNNNNNNNNNNNNNNNNNNNNNNNNNNNNNNNNNNNNNNNNNNNNNNNNNNNNNNNNNNNNNNNNNNNNNNNNNNNNNNNNNNNNNNNNNNNNNNNNNNNNNNNNNNNNNNNNNNNNNNNNNNNNNNNNNNNNNNNNNNNNNNNNNNNNNNNNNNNNNNNNNNNNNNNNNNNNNNNNNNNNNNNNNNNNNNNNNNNNNNNNNNNNNNNNNNNNNNNNNNNNNNNNNNNNNNNNNNNNNNNNNNNNNNNNNNNNNNNNNNNNNNNNNNNNNNNNNNNNNNNNNNNNNNNNNNNNNNNNNNNNNNNNNNNNNNNNNNNNNNNNNNNNNNNNNNNNNNNNNNNNNNNNNNNNNNNNNNNNNNNNNNNNNNNNNNNNNNNNNNNNNNNNNNNNNNNNNNNNNNNNNNNNNNNNNNNNNNNNNNNNNNNNNNNNNNNNNNNNNNNNNNNNNNNNNNNNNNNNNNNNNNNNNNNNNNNNNNNNNNNNNNNNNNNNNNNNNNNNAAUAUAUCUUAAAUUUUAUUUUAUUGUAAUUUUAUAUGAAUUGAUUAUAAUUUUAAUUGACCGAAUAUAUAUCCUUUAUUAUUUAUAUUAUAUUUGUACUUGUAAUUUUUUUAAAAAUUUAAAUUAAACAUGCCCUUUUUUUAAAAAUGUAAAUAUAAAUAUUUGUUUAUAUUAUAAUGUGUUUAUAAUAAGAGUCAGAUUAUAUAUAUAUAUAUUUGUAAUAGAGUCAGAUUAUAUUUUACAUCUUCUGUUCGAAAAAAUUGGAAAAUUAAUCAACAGAUAAAAAUUAAAUCUAUUCUUAUUAUUAAAAAUUAUUUAAUUUCUGAAAAAAUUCUUAUAGGUAACCUUUUAGAUCUUUUUUAGCUGUGUUUAUUAAAAAAAAUAAAAAAAUAUAAAAGUAGUUUUUUUAGAGUAAAUGUAAAACUUUAAAAUAAUUGUAAUAUGUAAAAUUAAAAAUAUUAAACUAUUUACAACCGUCGGAUUAAAAAUGAUAUAUUUUUGAAUGAUGAUGAAGAUCGAUUCCUGAUGUAUAUAAAUACUGCCUUCUAUUCCCUUCAGUCUUCGCUUCACCCACUUUCUCAUUUCACACGGGUUGUGGCGUAGUUUAAGCAGAGAGGGUGCGCAGGAUAAAGCUAUUCACCAUUGUUUCAACAUGAAGGUUUGUAAUAAAAAUUUGUUUCUAUCAGCAUUGCUUUGCAUUGCUGUUGCAGGAGUUUUGGGUCAAGCUCCUAGUAAUCCUCCUACGUCUACGCCGGCGCCACCCACACCACCGGCUUCUACUCCUCCUCCGACGACUCAAGCACCGCCUACACCAACCGCCACUCCGCCACCGGUUUCUACUCCUCCUCCCACUUCAUCACCGCCCCCAGUGACAGCUUCUCCACCCCCAGUUUCAACUCCUCCACCCAGUUCUCCUCCUCCUGCAACUCCACCACCUGCUUCUCCUCCUCCUGCAACUCCACCUCCAGCUUCUCCACCUCCUGCCACUCCUCCACCAGCUUCUCCACCUCCCGCCACUCCACCACCUGCAACCCCACCGCCAGCAACUCCUCCUCCUGCUACCCCACCACCAGCUCCAUUGGCUUCUCCUCCAGCCACAGUCCCAGCUAUCUCUCCAGUACAAACACCAUUGACAUCGCCACCAGCUCCGCCGACCGAGGCCCCAGCACCUACCCUCGGGG